UGGAAUAACAAGUAGGGACACUGCAACUAAUCUACUCUGCUCGUCCAGUCCCUAGCCUAUAAAUAGAUGCCAUGCUAGCUCUUGUUGUGCUCACAGUUAAUCCGAUUACACACGAGCUCCUCUCCCUAGCCAAGACACAAUCAUAGUAUGAUGAAGAACAUGGCACUAGCCGGCAAUGGUAUGAAGAAGUUAAUCCUCGCUGUUCUCUUACUGUGUCUAGUUAUAGGGCAGAUACAAGUGGAAGCUAAGAGCUGCUGCCCAUCCACCACUGCAAGAAAUGUCUACAAUACCUGCCGUUUGACGGGUGCAUCCCGUCCAAUGUGUGCAAAACUGUCAGGCUGCCAAAUUAUCAGCGGGAACAAAUGCAAGCCCCCUAACGACCACCUCACCCUUGACCCGGACACUGGUAAAUAAUAAAUUUAUCUCACUUGAUUUCUUUGUGUUUUGAGUCGUUAAUGUAUUUUCCAUCUGAUGAAACGCAUUGGUUUUGCAUUGAAGAGGAAGUUAAUGUGCUUAACUUCUGCAAGUUGGGGUGUGCGUCGUCUGUGUGCAACAACAUCAACGCUGGUAAGCACCUUUUGCUCAGACAGAGAAAACAAUAAUCAUUAAUUAGCGGCAGCUAGAAUCCUAUAAUCUAAUAUAUAUAUAUAAUUUUAUCAGCUCUGGGAAAUGAAGAGGCGAACGAUGCCGUUGAGAGUUGCGACCAAGCCUGCUCUAGCUUCUGCAGCGUGCAUGUUGGCAGCGCCACCGUGGUUGCUUAAGCAAAUGCAUCCAACUAGAUCGUCCUUGUGCUGAAUAAUUGGAUAUCGUAUCCACUUAAAGCUGCCUUGUGUAGUACGUCUUUGUGUCUCUCUUUAUAUUCCAAUAAGGUCGGUGAUCUUGAUGCCACACACUCAGAUGUGUGUUCAUCUCCAGAUACUACUCCAUGCUACCUGCCCUUUGUGUUUUGUUCAAUAACUGGGUAUCAUAUCCGAGCCAGUAUGCCGUCUGUUUUGUGUUUGUUUCCUUCUAGUUCCAAAGGGGUCAUCAUGAUGUUACCUUCUUUCAAUAUGGUGCUUUGCAUGACUACUGUUGUAUGGUACCAUCUUGUGGCCAAUAAGUACAUCUUAUCCUAUGACCCUUUGCUAUGACCCUUUGCAAAUAAGUAGAAGAUUGUUAUAAGCGUCAAUACUCAGUAUAAUUGAUCGCUGCUGUGAGUUCCCUUUCAGCUUAUCGUAGGCAUACAUUAUUGCUAGCACGGUAAAGCCAACCAACACGAAUGAUGAAGUAAACGUAGCGGUACUUCUGUAUACCAACACCCUUACUUAAAUGUACCGGUGUCAUUCCCUACUGGCACAUAUAUUCUUAUAUGCUAGCCAGCUUGUAAAAUUAACCAAUUAAAAUAAUUAUUUCAAGAUAGAAAUAACUUAUUGGCUUCUCGAAGCAUGUGUAAUGUGAAUUCAUGAGACUUCAAGCAACCAGGAAAAGACACUAAUAAACAUCCAGAUCCCAUCCAGCACACAUCCAUGCACAUAUAUAACCCACAUAUUGCUCCAGCACACAUCCAUGCAUAUACGAUAUCCAAAUGUUAAUAUUGUAGACAUCCAUGCCUGAACUAGUCUGCCACACAAGUCAUUGAUGCUACAAAUUCUACAAUCGCAGCAUGUGCAUACAACUUACAGAAUGAGAUAAUGUACCAAAACUAAAACGUUAGCAUCAACUGUGCUUCAACCAAAGUUGUCAUCCCAACUCUCCUCUUCAUCCAUGCCAUUCUUGUCAUGGCCGUCGCUGUCAGUCUCCAUGGCAUUGCCAAUGCUGUGUAUGUCUUGGUAGGAACCUACAUGUGAUGAACAGUAACCUGCAAAAAGAGCUCAAAGGAUCUUGUUCUCAUAUUGUAGCUGUGAAAUUCUUGCAAGUAGUGUUGCAAUCUGUUCACUUUGAACCAAAAGAGCUCAAAGGAUCUUGUCCUAAAAGUUCCUCUUAAAGCUUAUGGGUUUGCUGGUGGAACCGGAAGGGCUUGAUGCAGCAGAUGCCAUUCUGCAAUAGAGAAAAAUUUAGAGGGCAGUACUAGUUAAAAUUUGAUGCAGCAGAUACACACGAAACUAGUAUUUAUACAAUUCUAUAUAUGUAAUAAUUUGUCCCCUAAAUUUUUAGGAUCCUCUUGAUGGUGGUGAGUCUUCCAGUAAGGCAAUUGAAUGUCCGUCAUAAUAAAAUUCUCCUUAGGAUUUAUCAUCUCGUCAACCAGAAAUCCUAGGAGUGCUUCUUGGAUUGCCAAAACCCUAUCCUGAUGCAGGAGUUCGUCCUUAAGCCUUAACAUUUGUAAUUUGGAAAUAUGUGAAAGUUAAACCAACAAUUAAAAUAUAAGGAGCCUUAUCAUCAUUUCCAUGUGUUGCGAAUUAAAAUAAUGAAUAAUACAGUGUUAGGUGAAAAUUCAAGAAACAAAAUUUUGCAUAGAGAUAAACGUCCAACAUUAUUACAAGUUAAGGUAGUUUUAAAUAUCCUUGUAAUCUUCCUUUGAUUUCCUCAACGAUUCGAAGACAAUAACCUUACUUCUAUCAAUGAUAAUUAUAAGGAGAACCCAGUGAAAACUGUGUAUUCAUAUUAGAACUACCUAAGGUUAAUUAGGUUAGGAAAGGAAAUCGAAAAUAGAUGGUACCCACACUUACUUAAAGUUGUCGGGCAAUAGUAUGUAAUGCUUGUAAUUCCGUUGCUCCAAGAAUUUGUAUAUGUGGUCCAAUGUAGACUUUGGUUGAUUCCGUAUCUGCUGUUGGUUAAAUAAGUGUUUCUAGCCAUUACUAGCCGUUAGAACUCGGACUAAAGGGGGCUCUUUAGUACGGGUUGAUAUUACUAAUCGGGAUUAAAGAGCCCCCAUUAGAGUUGGUUUUUGGACGCGGAACUAACAACUCCUUUAGUCCUAAGUACAAAAAUGACUGAAAUAUUUGUUGCUGGAUGGAAGGUCCUUUCUCUACCAUGAAUAUUGCCAGAAAGAAUUGAAAGAGACUGCUUGCUAAAAAUAUGUCAUAGAUGUAGACCAAGCUACCAAGGAUGUAGACCAAACAUGAUACACACCAUGCGUACCUUGCUGUGCAGACUAUGCAUUGACAAGAUAGAAAUAAUUAAUUCUAAUAUGCGUACCCUUACUUACACUAGUAGAGAAUUGGGCUUUAAUCCCGGUUGGUAAGGUGCAAAUAUCUCGAAAAUGCAUCCGGGAUAAACCAACCGGGACAAAAGGGGGAUCUUUUAUCCCGGGUCACUCAACACGCGAUUUUUCACAAAAAAAAAAUUCCCGAGCUCCCAGGCAGGCCCCCCACACGCGAUUUUUCACGCGAAAUAUGCGCGUGCGCGGUUCGUGGGAUUCGAACCCACAACCUCCAGCCUCGCGCGUAGUUUCCUUGCCAUCCCACCUACACACCACAUCUGACUAUGUAGGGGAUACUAUCCUUUUGUAUUAAAAGGCUCUUGACCCUUUUAUCUCGGUUGGUGUUACCAACCGGGAUAAAAGGGGGGGUCUUUUAUCCCGGUUGGUGUUUCAAACCGGGAUAAAAGGCCUCUCAGAGUCUUUUUUUCCCAUUAGCCUUUGCAACCGGGAUAAAAGGUUCCGGUUGGUGAGCCCCCCACCAGUGACCGAGUUUUAGUCCCGGUUGGUGAACCUUUUGUCCCGGGCCAACUUUAAACCGGGACAAAAGGGGGCGUAUGGAAAGCCAAUUCUCUACUAGUGUUAAAUAUACCGGUGUUAUUGCCCACUGGCACAUAUAUUCUUAUAUGCUAGCCGGCUUGAAAAUUAACCGAUUAAAAUAAUUAAUUCAAGACAGAAAUAACUUAUCGGCUUCUCGAAGCAUGUGUAAUAUGAAUUCAAGGACUCGAUGGAAGUUGAAUCGCUUCAUCUAGAUUGCUUUCAGGAUUUUGGGUAACUAAAUUUAACAUUUGCACACACAAAUGUUAAUGUACAAAUGUUAAAUCUAGUUACCCAAGCAGAAUAUGAAUAUACUCUAUAGUAUACAUAUACUAUAUAAAUCUAGUUAAUAUUUAGUCUAAAUGUUAAAUCUAGUUACCUAAAAUCCUGAAAGCAAAAUGUAUAAAUAUAUAUCUUUUAAGGCAGUAUAAACUUCGAUUCCUUUUGCUGCUCUGUUAAAUCUCAUCUUUCGUUGUGGCCCAACACUCUAGUAUGUAUGUUGCACCAAGCUUCCUUGAGCCGCUCUGCCCUCUGAUUUUGCUGCGUAGGGGAAUCUUUAUCAGGUUGGGCUGCUUCCAGUCAUACGAUGUGUGGCUUCAUAUCUUCUACAAGUUAGACAGGAAACCCGCGUUCUGGAAGAUUCUGCAACGUGCACGUUGGCGCUGCCACCGUGGUUGCUUAAGCAAAUGCAUCCAACUGAAUCGUCCUUGUGCUAAAUAAUUGGAUAUCGUAUCCACUGCUUAAAGCUGCCAUGUUUAGUACAUCUUUGUUUUUCUCUCUUUAUAUUCCAAUAAGGUCGGUGAUCUUGAUGCCACACACUCAGAUGUGUGUUCAUCUUCGGAUACUACUCCAUGCUACCUGCCCUUUGUGUUUUGUUCAAUAACUGGGUAUCAUAUCCUAGUCAGUGUGCCAUCUGUUUUGUGUUUGUUUCCUUCUAGUUCCAAAGGGGUUAUCAUGAUGUUACCUUCUUUUGAGGUGUCUAUGACUUUGUUAAUAUCAAUAUUAACCAAUUCAAUCUAUCUUAACUAUUUGUAAGGGGUAUGAUGUAUGCAUGAUUAUAACAAUGAUUGCGCAUACAAUCACUGCCAAAGAAACGGUCAAUACCAUAAAGACAUAUUACAGACAAUUCUCAUAAUCUAUAAUGAAUAUACAUAUUCACUACUGCAGAGACUGUCAUCUGUAUCAGCUCAUACGUGCCAGGGCAAAGGUCACCCUUGCAUUAAAAGUACAUUUGCACGGUAAAGAUAACCAACACGAAUAAUGAUGUAAACAUGCCGGUGCUUUUGUACACCAACACGCUUACUUAAAUGUACUGGUGUCAUUCCUCACCGGUAGCCGGCUUGAAAAUUAACCAAUUAGAACAAUUAUUUAUUGUAUCGGUGUGAAUUUUGACCUAUUGGAAUAUGAAUUUGACCAUUACUGCAUUCGUCAAGACUCAAGAGAGAAAUAACUGAUCGGCUUCUUAGAGCGUGUGCAAUGUGAAAUCAAGGACUGGAUGGAAGUUGAAGCGCUAGCUUCAUCUUCCGCUGCAUGUUAAUUGCUUGGAUAAGAAGUUGUAGCCGCGUAUAUAAAUAGUCCCGCUGAUGCUGUGCUCCGAAGUCUAUACUAUAUAUGCGAAAACUAGAUUGCUUUCAGGAUUUUGGGUAACUAAAUUUAACAUUUGUACAUAAAAAUGUUAGUUUACGAAUGUUAAAUCUAGUUACCCAAGCAGAACAAGAAGAUAGUAUAUACUAUAUACUAUGUAAAUCAAGUUAACAUUUAGUCUAAAUGUUAUAUCUACUUACCCAAAAUCUUGAAAGCAAAGAAAGAAUAAGUAUAUAUCUUUUGUUGGAAAAUUGGUCCACGGAGAGUGGCCUCGUUCGUUUCACCGGGAAGGAAUUCCAGUCAGGAUUACUUCCAAGUCCGGUUUAAGUGAUUCCACCCAUGUCACUCAAUUCGGCUAGGAUUCAUUCCAGGGGUGAGGAGGUAUGGUUUCAAUCCGGGCCAUCUAAUGUAGAAGGAUUCCAAUCCAGGCCGGUUUUCGUUCUAGGCUAGACUAAAACGAACAACACUUUCAAUGCAAGUCUGGUUUCAAACCGGGCCACUUCAAACCACCCGGAAUGGACCUCAUUCCGGGCCAAUCCGGUGAUAACAAACGAGGCCUUAAUGGAAUCCCAAAGCAAGAGUUCAGUGGCAUUCUAUAGUCCCAUGCUGCUAGUUUGAGUUGGUCGAAGCCAACUUAAAUAGGAGAGCUCUCUCACUUCUCUAAAAAUGUAACUGAAGGAGAGAAGGGGGCUUGGGUUACACAACGCACGCACGCACGCAUAUUUGCAUUCUUUUCGCGUAACCGACCGCGUGACUUGAAACUUGCGACGUAGCGUGCUGCUAAGUCAAGUUGAUAUAACCUUUUUGCCGUUUGCGUGUAAUCUUUUGACAACGGUCAUUGGAGGUGAUAAGCACGCAGUCAAUACCUUAAUCCUGAGUUAAUAGGGCGGUUACUACUGCCAAUUAGUGCAGCAAUUUUGUAGGGGAAACGGUUAGCAGAGGGCUACCGUCUUCUCUAUAAGAAGUUUUGGAGACGUCCAGGAACACACAUGUACAUGUGAGAGACCCACGGAUUCCUUCCCUUCUCCCUUUUCCAUCUGGUGAAGUGUGCUAUGGUACUGAGCUGCUGGAUCUCGCUGGCUCUUCUCCUUGGCGUGCACCGAGGAGGAGGAUGAGCGGUAUCUCUGAGCUAUUGCCGUCAGGAAGCCUGCACGAGGGACAACAAUAAAGUUUUUAGGUAGCGCCUGCCUAAUCUUCGAUCUGCACUGCAACGCGUAACCCUGCAGCAACUCUACACGAGGACGGAGCACUAAUCUGUAAGUCCUAGAUUGGUUUCUUACAGAGUUGUAGGUUACACAAGAUCUAGAAUGGUUACAUACCAAUUAUUAUGGGUUACAUGAUGUUUUGUACGGUUUCGUCUAUUUUGCAUAUGUUAUUUUUACAUACCGUUUACAUGCAUAUGUUAAUGGUUACACCUAGCUAUUUGAAUCUAGAAUUGGGUUACAUAGCAGUAGCAAUGAGUUACGUAAUAUGCCUCACGUUUAUAUCUGGUAGAAUUUAACACGUAUCUCCAACAUAUUUUGAGGCAGUAUAAAUUUCAAUUCCUUUUGCUGCUCUGUUAAAUCCCGUCUUUCGUUGUGGCCCAACACUCUAGUAUGCAUGUAGCACCAAGCUUGUUUGAGCCGCUUUGUGCUUUGAUUUUGCUGCGUAGGGGAAUCUGUAUCAGGUUGGAUUGUUUCUUUGUCUUGCGAUGUAUAGCUUCAUAUCUUCUAGAGGUUAGACAGCAAAACCCGCAUUCUCUUAAGGCAACAACCCGAAGAAUCUGCAGCGCCUCUGAUAUAUCACUGCUGCAGAAACGAUCUUUAGUACUGAUCUCCAACCCUCUUUAGUAUCGGUUGGGCAACCAGUACCACUAUGUCGGUACUAAAGGGAGUUCUCUAGAAUCGGAUCAAAUAACCGGUACUAAAAGGGCUCCUUUACUACCGGUUGGUAACAACAAUAGGUAGUGACUUUUUUGCACCCAAAAAAUUAAAGAAUAACAGCCGGGAGGCUCGCACACACACGCAUCAUGAGUAAUAUGCGCGUGCAUGGUUUGUGGGAUUUCAACCCACGACCAAGCUAUAAGAACGUAGUUACAACAAAUCAAACACUUAGACAUUUUAGAGCAUCCCAAAUAACUACAAAUUCUAUAGUUUACCAUAUACCAUAAAAUAUUAGUUAAAAUAAGAGCAUACACAUGUCGGAAGAGUCCCAAUGCACCGGUUGAGGAUCAGACCAGGCACUUUGAAUGCACAUGCCAUAAGAUAAUUCUGCAGGACAAUGAUUGCAAUAAUGGACCAUCGAGAAGAUAGGGGCGAUGGGGUUGCCUCAUCAAUUAUCACUUGGCGCAACAAGACCAGCAAAGUCUUUAUCGACGGGGGUGGAUCAAGGGGUGGGGCAGGCAGAGCUCCAGUCCUCCUACCGCCGCUCGAACAAUGGAGCCCCCUUAGCCCCUCCAUAAAUUUUUAGGUAGAAGAAAAAAGAAGAGAAGGGAAGCAAGGGGAAGAAGAGGGAGCCCCUGCUAAGUAGGUCGCCAUCGUGCUUCCCAACGCAUGAUCGCCGCACCGCAUCCAUUCCUCUACAAGCCUUCAGCGUCUCUCCCGCCGCUACCUCUGAACCAUGUGCAGCUAUAGACCCAACUAGUGUGUUGUCGCCCAUCUCAGUCCCAACAGAGCGGCGGCGGCUGCCAACACAAAUCUCCCUCCGCCUCUUCUUCACGGUCGAUGGCCGCCACAAGCAUAAACCUCGCCUUCGCAUCCAAGCAAAAGGGUCGUUGGGGUGCCUUCUUGCAUCACUUCUCAGCCUCCUUCACUUGCGGCCAGCGAAGAACUGCGCCACCACCUCGGGUGCGUGCCACCACUCCAGGGCCGCUACCCCAUGCCUGCGGCCGCCACCGGCCACCACGCGUGUGCAACCGCGUUGCACCGCUUCCCUGCUUUGUGCCACCACUACUGCUGUACCACCAGCUCCACCACCUUGGGAUGGUCGCCAGGGUGACUGAUUGGUGAUUAUUACUAAAAAUAAGUUCCUUAUUAUCUGCAACUACUAUUAACUCAGAGAUACAUGCGUCUUUUGCUUCUCCUGCUAAUAGGUCCUAAAAUAUCUAGGAUGCUUUAUAUUUCUGGACAGAGGAAGUAUUUGAAUAAAAUGAACCAAUUUAAAAAAAAUGUGUUGUACACUACUACAGAAAGACCUAUCAGUGUCAAACCCAAAAAUGUCGUCACCGCCAGUUUUAGGCAUCGUUGGUGAAAGGUUGGCGGUGAUGGGCAUCCCCUUCAACAACGGCACUGGAGCCGACGGUGAUUGACAUUAGAAAACAAAAAAGGGAACCCCACCUAGCCACCCCUGCAACCCAGCCGGCCGUGCCUCCCCUCAUGCCCACCACCUCGCCUCCCCCGUGACCCCCCGCCGGCGCCCUUGUGCCUAGCCCCCUCGCCUGCCCGGCCGGCCACCCUCGUCAUGAGAGAGAGAGGUGCAUGUUGUAUAAUUGCGUGAAUUUUUGAAUGUUUAAUUUUAUGUAAGUUCCAUGUAAUAAAUUGUACAAGUUUUAUUGUAUAUAUGAAUUCCAUAUAUAUGUAUUUAUAAUUUAAUGUAUGGUUUCAUGUGUAUAUUUCAAUCAUGUGUAUAAUUAGUAGAUUGCCGAUUUUCUUUUUCUACUAGACAAGGGUUGAUGUAUAAUUACGUGUAUAUGUUUAUUGUAUGGGCAAUUAGGACAAGUUUUGUAUAAAUUUCUUUUAUUUCAUGGUUGUUGUAUGGUUUCAUGUAUAUACAUUUAUUGUACUACUUGAGACAAUUUUAAUUUAAUAUUUCUAUGAUUACAUGUGUGUAUAACUAAUUGUAUUAUUAGUUAAGAUGGGAGCCAAAGAGGAUGAAAGGUAUAUAAUAGAGUAGAUUAUUGCUGGCGGUAGUGGCUCAAACGUUGCAAGAACCUACACCGAGGGUGAGGGUAGCUAGGUGGACAUGUACCUCAACAUGUCCAGUGAUGGCAAUGACGAUGAGGAGCACGAGCAUGACGUCUAUGAUAAUGCGGAACAAGACAUUGCAGAAUUGGAAGGUUCUAAUGAGGUGUGCUUCAUGUUGACGAUCUAGUUGGCUUUUUUUCUUUGGUCACACCUUAGUUACCAUAGAACUUCGUCUCGGGAGAAGAUUGGUGGUGCUAUGGUGAUUGGAAUUUUAUUGCCUCCAAAUUUGAUUUCCAUCGAAUCAUAUCCCUUGUAUUUAUCUUCUUUUUAUUUGUGAGAGCAUCUUCUUUAUGCUUGCAAAACAAUUCAAGUGCACAUACUACCCCUAGGGUGAUGAUUGGGAGUAGAAACAAUUGCCAACAAAACAACACCACAUCCUAAGAUUCUUAACUUGUGGCAUAAUUAAUCUAGUGAAAAGAAAGAUAAAAACCUAAUGGGUGUACGUGAGUGCAAUGUGUAUAUGCAUAUGAGUGGAAGGCAUAUAAGCAAAGACAAUAUUUACACAUAGUUCUAAACACCAUGUUUACAGCUAGGUUGCUGAAUUUCUCCAUAGCUAUAGAGAUUAAUUAACCAAGGUCAAAACACGAUGUCUAUCCCAAGAUCAGUAAUUCUUUAUAGCACAAGAAAAAUAAAGCGCAUUGCAAAGUUUAUAAACCAACCAAUACAGCAUGAAAACAAGAUGAAUAGCUAGCAAGGUUUAUUAAAUUGAAUGAUGACGGUCUGCAAGCAAGUUUGAACACCAUCUUUACACAAGAUUGCAAAUGGAAAAUGCCCAUAUGAAGCACUAACAUGGAUAUGAAAUCAUUCAUCAUAAAGCGUAAAGAACAACCAAGCCAACCAUAUGCAAAGCAUGAAUGGAAUGCAAUGAAGGUGCAAGAGAACAUUUUUGGAUGAACACAUUAUGAUGAUGGCAAAAUGCAAUGCGUGCAGAAAUAAUAAAUAUGAACAUGAAUAUGAUGAUCAGGGGCGGACCCACUAUUGUGGCCUGGGUAUUCCUGGGCAUACCCAAUAUUUUUGGGAAAAUGUUUAGUAGUUUUUAAUGGCAUAUACAUGUAUAAUAUAGUUUAGGUGUUAAAAUUGAUAUUCACAGCUAUUUUGGGCUCCAAUUCGCGUCCAAACCAACCUAGCCCACAGACCACACCCGGCCGGCCAGCCCAUCGGCCCAUCUAGUCACUGAUCCUUCCACCACCACACUCAGCCCAUCAGUCGGUCAGGUCCCGAGCUCCUGCCUGACCUAGUCUGCUACCGCCGCCGGGCGCCAAGCACAGCCGUACGCAUUGCACCGCCCCCGUCCACCCACGUCCGUUGGGGGGCCAAGCCGCGCCCCCCAGCCCCCGCGGUGAGAUCUCGACGCCCGCUGCCCCCAGACCCCAUUAGGCCUCCAUCGGCAAGUCCACCCACAGUCCCACGGGACGGGGCAGCCUUUUGGCUUUGGGCGCUCGGGGCGCGCCAAUGCCAGCGCAGCCCCAGCAGGCGACUGCCCCCCCCCCCCGCAUCAGGCCUCAGCCCCUCCCCAGCUCCCCCUCCCCCCUCCACCAGGACUGCUUGUUGGCCCCCACCGCGAGGUAAUCGAAAUGGACUGCUCAAUCACUCAAUCUGUUGACAUGAUGCACACGGNNNNNNNNNNNNNNNNNNNNNNNNNNNNNNNNNNNNNNNNNNNNNNNNNNNNNNNNNNNNNNNNNNNNNNNNNNNNNNNNNNNNNNNNNNNNNNNNNNNNNNNNNNNNNNNNNNNNNNNNNNNNNNNNNNNNNNNNNNNNNNNNNNNNNNNNNNNNNNNNNNNNNNNNNNNNNNNNNNNNNNNNNNNNNNNNNNNNNNNNNNNAUUUUUUUGCAAUGAGCAUACCCUACUCUGAAAUCCUGGGUCUGCCACUGAUGAUGAUGGUCUAAACAUAAAACAAGCCAAGAUUAAUUAGCCACAACUGAAAUUAAGCAAAGGUUAAUGUCAUUGACCCUAGCUCUAUCCUAGCUUUUACAAAAGUCCCAGCACAUAUAGUGGUUGGGCCCACUCUCUCUGCUUCCCUCUCUGCUGCAUGCAUGCACACGAGCAACGGGAGGCCCCACAAAGCCCAGAAGGGUUCGGCUGAACCCGGCCGAUCCAAUCUGAGCACCACUCCCUCCCAGCCUUCGCGCAGAUGCUCCUCCAACAUUCCUUGACCCCUCCCUCAGCGUCCCAUUGGGUUUAACAUUGCAGGAGAGGAGUCCCUUUUUUAAAAUCUCAACCACCUCCUCUCCUCAUUCACUCCACUCUCAUCUCCAUCAAACUCACCAAGAUCCACAUCGGAAAUCCCUGCUUACCACCAUGGCUGGCAAAGCCCUCGUCCCUUUCACCAACUUGGGCUUAACCAUUGAUCUCGAUGGGGAAAUCACUCCGGAAAUAGGGCAGUGACCCAGAGCAAAGGUGAUGCCAGAGUGUAGAUAGCAGUUAGCAUGCCAAAUUGUGAACCGCAAGCGCUCGGAUUAGUUGUUUUUUUUCCCUUAGAGAUUCCCCCAAGGUUUAUCAAUCCAUGGAACAAGGGAUUUGCACAUUUCACUAAGCAUUAAUCAAUGUAAUUGAAAGCUUUUUGAAUAAGAUAUGAUUAUGCUAACAAAGGAACUAAGCAAUCUAGAUUAAGAUGGAUAGAGAGUAAAGGUUGUGAACAAGAUAGAUUAAACGCUUAUAGAUGCAAUCACCAUGCAUGAAUGAAUUAGAUCUAGGUGUUAUUGUGAGUGGUUGUGAACCAUACCCCAACACUUUCCCACCCGCAACAUUGUCACUACAUGUGGGUACUCAACUAUCGAAACAUAAGAACACAUCAAGAUGAUCAUUCUAGGUAAGCAAAUAAGCAACCCAAAGUAGCGCUGGCCAGCCUUUUCAUGAAAGAGCAUCAUCAAGAUAAGAUUGAUAACAAAAUAGAUCUCAACCAAAGGUUCAGCGAUUACAAAUCAAGAUCUCCGUAUAACCCCGAUGACAAAUAGAGGUAUUACCCCCAUGAUCUUACACAUGUUGAUGAAUUUUAGGGUAAAGGACGCCCUGUAGAUCAACUGGACCAAAGAUGAUGAUGAACAGGGGCAGGGAAGGCCCAGGCUGAUCAGCCUGGGCACUUUUGAGCCGAUCAGCUUAGGGAGUUUCCUCCUCCCCUGGUGCUCCUCUUCGCGUGGCCUCCUCUGGAUCCAAUCUUCUCUUCAUUUCUCCUACUUGUGGUGGCAAUGGAUGGUGUUUGCAUGGUGAUUUCCUCUUCUCCCCAACUCUCCCUCCUUGAAGUCCAUGAGGGGGUAUUAAUAGUCUCCAAUAUGCGGCAGCUCUGGGUCAAUGUCGGUGAAAAAACCCUAGAGAUCAUCGUACACUUCACGCUGAGGAAACAAGAGGUCGACCGAGCCCUGGGAUAGACCAAGAGGAUCAGCCUAGAGGGUCCCAGGCCAAUCGGUCUAGGCCCUUCCUAGCCCUUCUAGUCCUCUCCUUCCUCGUGCUGGCUUUUCUCGAUGACCCUUGUCCAAAUAUCCAUUAAGCUCUAUAUACAUACCCCCUUGAUUAUGUCGUAUUUCCUGUCAAAAUACAAUGCUCCAAAAUACAACACAUAUGCAAUAAUAGGGUUAUUUCAUGUGCCAAUUGGUGCGUUAGUAUACGAAUAAGCAUGAAAAUACUGGUUAAAUGACACUAAAAGUGUGUCAAUAACGAGCACCAACAAUCCCCCCACGCUUAGAUCUUGCUCGUCCUCGAGCAAGUCUAGCGACUAAAAGAUCUUGAAUUAAACAUGAGCAAGCGAGUCAAGUACCUAGCCUUGAAACAAAAGAUUAGAGGAGCAGCAAAGAUAAUCAAAGUCUGGGUGUUCAAAGAUUUAUCUAAGCAAAGAUUCCCCUACAACUAUUAUUCAGAACCAAGUAACUUCAAGAAUCAACUACACUUAUUUUCUGGCUUUUUUCAGAGGGUUUUUCUUUCAUCACAAAACAAUCUCCCUGCAACAAAAUUGAAAAAAGAAUUAUUUUCCAGGUGCUUACAUGUCGUUUAAAUGAAUGUUCGCUAUCCUACUUAUUUGCAAGCUCUCAUCUCUCAAAAUUCAUUCAAUUAUAUGGUGGAGCUUGGGUAAGGUUAGCUAGAAUCAACACGUAUAUUAUUGAAUUAAGAAAACCCUCUAACGGUAGCCUACCUUUCGAGCCAUUGAUCAUAAGAAUAUCCACAUAAUGUGAAGUUUUCAAGGAUGAGAAUAGAAUGGUGGACAUGUGCAAAGGCAAAGAAAUAUAGUGACUCUGAGGCACAAGCAAUGUCCUCGUCGUUGGAUUGCAUAUGGUUGGAAUGAAAAUCUGUUCCUUAAACAAGUCCAUCUUUUCUUUGCACCACUCUUGAUCUUCAUGACAGUAAAAACUCCUCCUUUAUUUCUUUCUCUCUUUUCCUAUUAUUUCUUUUUAUUUGUCUCAAUACUUUUCUUUCUUUAUUUCUUUAUUUUAAUCUCUUCUCCGAACCUCUUCUGAACACCACACAAUAAAAAUCAGUUUUAGAUCCUUCUAGAGACCUUCCAGGAAUUUGCUACAUGAAAACCGAGGCAAGGAGACCCCAGGCCGAUUGGCCUGGCCACUCCUUUGCUCUCCUCUAGCUCUUCUUUCUUGUGAAGCUUCCUUAUCUUGUAUCUUUCCAAAAAUUUCAUAAAGCUCAACUAGAAACGGAACACAUCUUCAUAUAAUGAGUUGUGUUCAAGGAAUUGGUAAUAAAAUUGAGAAAUUUGUGGUUCGGGUUUACGAAUUCAGUACAAAAAUAUGAUUAUUCCAAUGAAGAACUCUCAUUACUGAAUAUUGACGAGGCAAGCAUUCAAAGAUGGUAAAAAGGAUAUGAUCAAUUCUCAGAAUUAAAGCAAACCAAGAGAGAGCGAUCCUAAUUCAAUUCAAAGUGUCAAAUGUUGCUUAUGGUGGUAUGAAUAAAUAUUUUUAGGCAUUGGGUAGGAUAAAUAAAAACUCUCAACCUGGUUAAAAGAUAUUGAUCAAUCUUGUUUUUGCAGAGGUUUUAAAUAAAAAAUAAAAUUUUAAAUCACCUCCAAUUCAAAGCCUUACUCAUAAAUCAUAAUCAAAACUGAAGCACUUGAUCAUCAUAAAGCAUGGGUAUUGCAUAAACAAAUCGAUUACUAAAACUCCACAACUACGAUUUAGAAUUCAAGACAAUGCUCAUAAUCUAAAGUUGCAAAGACAAAAUAAAAGACAAGCAAGCCAAGGUAGACACUAAAAACACUUGCACGAUCCUUGAAUUUUAUUCAUGCUUCUUCUCACAAAGACGCUAAAGUAGCCAUGUAGGCCUAAGUCUUCCCAAAAGCUUAAGAAGACUACUACUUUAUCUACUUUUGGUUCUAAUAAAAACACUAAUCUAGACUCUCACAUGAUUCGACUCGACCAAACUAGAUCCAAAAACUCAUACGAGCGACAAUCUCCCCCCCCCCCUCUCAAAUCUACGACCUCCUCGUGGUAACCAUAUGGAGUACAAGGAAAAGACGCUUGUAAACGCACUAAUGACGCUACCCGGACUACUUGCACACGGAAUGGUUGCUGUUUCCUUUGCUUUGUUCUUCGUCAUGUUGCUGCACAUCCCGAAGAGCUUCCUCACGUUCCUCUGCAAGAACUUGAACUUGAACUUGUCCUCCUGACGGCAAUCAUUAUCUUCUGCCUUUUGAUCCAGAGCUUGUAAGGCUUGCAUGAUGUCAUUGAACGCAUCGAAGAGGUAGUGGAUGUUCUUCCUGCAAGCUGUGGAACAUGUACGAUCAUGCUCCUACGAUUCUGGCCCGUCGUCUUCUAGAUCCUCCUCUUUGCCCUUGUCUUGACGGUGGCCAUCUUGCUCCUUGCUCGUCUUCUUGCCUUCAGCCCGAUCCCAGUACGUGUUGUCAUCUUCUUCAUCAUCACGGCCUGCAGCACCCUAUGAUCCAUUGUCUAUCUUGUAUGAAAGAAUCAGAAGCUUGUUCUCCUCAGGGUGUCUUGCGCGGUGCAGCGUUUGCAAGUGCAAGGCUUGCUAGUUCUUUUUACACAUUGUAAUGUUCAUUGCAUGCUCUAAUUGUUCUACAUUUGUAAUUUCUUGGUGAAGUUUGGUUACUGAUCCACUGUUUGAUUAACUCUUGGGCCCAAACACUGUACUACUUCUGAUUAGAUAUCUGUAUCUUAACUUUGACCAAAAAAAAUAUCCGGCAGUUUUUGCCAUUAAAGUUUCAUAAAUCAUCUUGCAAAAAUCGUACUAUACAACAAGGGACGGUUUAUUAUAAAAUAUACGUUCCCCUUAUCACAUGCCACUUCCACUCAAAAGGCAACGAAUCAGUUUUCAAUCCUGAGUGAGCAAUUUGCUUUUAUUACCGAUGCCUCCUAUUCCCUUGUGCACCAAGUUCAUUUUGGAUAGGACUGCAAAAAGCGACUAACCAGCUCGGAUUCUCCACCUGCAAAACCGCAUCUGCAGCAACCAACCCCACGCGGUGGAAAAAAAAACAAAACCCAGAAACCGGACGGGGGUGGAUGUGGGGCUCGGAGCCCAAGCAAAAAAAGGAUCGGGAGCGCCGGAGCAGGCCAUCACCGGAUGUUAGAGAUAGAAAAUGGUUGAAGUUGGAGUGGAAAUCAAACAAGCCUUGGAGCAAAGGAAAAAAAAGAUCAAACCACUCAAGCAUUCAUUUGAUUUAGAAAAGAGAACAUUUGUUAAGGUGGGGAGUUGAAAUCAUCUUUUAAUUAGUUCCACGUAUCUGGUAUCAUUACAGUUGGUUGACUUGUGUAAGUAUAUAAGUAGCUCUGCCGAAGCCUUUGCUCCUAUAAUUUAGUAACUAGUACAAAUGGAUCAUUAGGAAAAUCAAGUUGCAAUCAUUUCUCAGCCAACCAAACCUAUCUAAAUCAAAUUAUUGUCCAUGCCCGGCAUGCACAGGUGCCUGCCAUGCAUGCAUUGUUGCUCCAUUGUAAUAACCAUUAUUGUCCAUUGAUGUUCCAGCGCAUGUGUGCACUGUGCAGACACCAAGCAUCGAGAUUAUGUACUAGUAAGGUACCAAGAACACGUGAAGCACACGGGGGAGGCUGCUCCACUCGGCAUGCACAGGUGGGGCACGGCACCACUACUCGUCUCCUUCAGGCAGAGGACAAGUGAUGUACGCUGAUCAACCACUAGUAGAAAAACGACUUUCCAUCCACCCCCUUUUGUCCCGGUUUAAAGUUGGCCCGGGAUAAAAGGUUCACCAACCGGGACUAAAACUCGGUCACUGGUGGGGGGCUCACCAACCGGGACCUUUUAUCCCGGUUGCAAAGGCUAGUGGGAAAAAAAGACUCUGAGAGGCCUUUUAUCCCGGUUUGAAACACCAACCGGGAUAAAAGGUGGUCUUUUAUCCCGGUUGGUGUUUCCAACCGGGAUAAAAGGGUCCCCACGAGUUAAUACAAAAGGAUAGUAUCCCCUAUAUAGUCAGAUGUGGUGUGUAGGUGGGAUGGCAAGGAAUCUCCGCCCUCUCCACCUUCGGUACUCCAUGGGAAACCAUUCCUUUGGAACCAAGGAAGCUUGAACAGUAUAACGAAUAAAGUUUCAUAUAUCCAUUUGAUUUCACAUGAAAUAAAAUAUCCUGUCAGAACCAAUGGUUUCACUGAAGCUCCAGGCAGCGAGCGAAGGGGUGAGAGAGGAUAACGCUUACUGUGUGUUACCAUCACGUGCACCAUGGAUGACCAACGCGCAGCCGAGAUGAAACGGCGGACCUAAACAGGUCCUCGCUAUUUUUGCAGGUUCUCGACCAGGCCAGUUCUUUGGGCCAACCUAUAAUUCACGAGUUAAACAUACGGUGGCUGUAGAAAUGUUCUAUUCUUUUCAACAAUACCAGCUGGUUCCUCCGUUUUUAUUCCACCAAUACAAGCACCACCUUGUAACAUUUCCUAUGUUUUUUUUCCUUUCGUCUGUUUUCUCACUACAUGCGUUGCUCUUUCAUGCAUUUUUUUCCAUUCCUGUAUUCCAAAUAGGUCUACAUGAACACAAAAUGAACUAGGGGACAGAAAAAGCCAGUGAAGUUAGUUUUGAGCUUCACCAGCUACUUGCUACAUAAAGUGUGCUAUAGUCGCAGAAAAGCUAAGCUGGAUCAGACGUGGCCGAAACCAUGCCAAAGAGCUAGGUCCCUAGCUGAUGGCAACACAUCAGAUGACUAGCCUGCUUUUUUGUAAUAAUGAUAUUGAGCAAUACACUGCAUGGCUAACCUGCUUUACAAUAAUUGUCAUUUUAUAAUAUUGGUCAUCACGAGAGAUGCACAUUGCAUACACCGGUCCAUCCCUAUAAAUAGCCAAGCCUUUCAGCCAUCUUGGGCACCUCCUCUCAGGGCCUCGUCUCACCAUUAGACAUCUCGUUCCCAGUUAUAAUUUGCGAGGUUAGAUCAGGCUGCGCCAUGGCGUCCGCAGCUGCUGUCAAGAUCGCCGCCAUCUUCAUGCUGGUGCUGACCAUGGGCCACCUGAUGGCCGAAGCAUCACCGCAGCCUCGGCGUCUGCUUGCAGAAACGGAGCAUGCUGCGGUGUCCGGGAAUCCUGGCCUCCCAGGUGAUGCUAGCGUCAUGCAGGUCCUCGAACCCGCCCUAGUUUCUCCUCUUGCCUGCAAGCCAGAGUGCACAGUCCCUUGGCCUCCUUUUGUAUGUAUCUGCUAGAUCCUCUUCCUGGAUCAACGGAACUUCAGGGAAAUGGCUGUGACGUCGGCCAAAGAAUAAAUUGGCUGAACAUAAUAUACCCCGGGUAGUGUAGCUUGGGCUUUUGUUGAGCGUCUGGUACUAGUUGUAUUUUGUUUGCUCAUGUGGCUUUGUUUCUGGUUGCAUAUUGUCUUUCCUAUCGCUCUCUGUUGCAGCUAUGGUUUCUGCCAGGUGUGUGUCAAUGCGGUUUGUAAGCGGUGCUUGUUCCUACCUUCUGUUUUCAAUAAAAGAAGUCGGAGUCUCCCUCCGACUCUUGUUAUCAGUCAAGAAAAAUGAGUUGUAUCAUAUAUAUCUGCGUCUUUUUUCUAUGUAUCUCUGGGCUGCUUCAGCUGGAAGUUUAUCGUAAGUACGUGUAUCAGGAUGAUCGUUUGAAUUAAAACGAAAUGAUAAUGUGUGGCUGCUAGAAAUGGAAUGAGCAUCUUACUAUAUUACUAAUUGGAAGCCUCCACGUGAAGCCACCUAGAAAUUCUAGGUGGAUGUUUUAAAAAAAAGAAAACCAAUAGAAGCCUCCACCACCUAGGAAUCCUAGAUGGACGCUCUAAAAAGAGAGAAAUCCUAGAAAUUCUAAAAAAAGAAAAAAAAUAAUAACAAUAAGAUUUUUUUUGCAGUCAGUUACAUAUAUUUUUUUGAGACACCGUGCUGCUAGCUCUUGCCAUUGCGACCAAUAAAGCAAGCAGAUAGUAAGAUGACAUGCGUGUGGAUUGAUUAAAACAGAUUCUGUUAGUUGAUUCUAAAUCAUAUGUAUCCUAAAAGGAACUAGAUAUGUGCGUGCAUGGUCCCUAGCGAUGACAUGUAGACAUGUAUUGCAAUUUCUUUUUUAAAAAAUAUGUCUAUCUCUAAACCAACAAACAGAAAAAAUAUCAAUCUAAAUCUAAAUCUCUUCCGUUCUCACACGCCUAUUAAAGAGAACACAACCAAUCCCAUCCAUGUUCCAUAGAAUCCAUCUAAAAGCUUGCUCACUGCGGACGGCAAAUCAACGAAAGAUCAUCCUCUCCAAAUAGCUAGACGGCAUCACCAUCUUUAUCUCACCAACCUACAGAGCUACAACGAUGUUGUAGAGAUCAACUAGGUAACCUACCAAUCACCCUCCCCUUUUCUAUAUGCUCUAAAGAACACGUGGAGUAAUUAUAGGCCUAUAGGAGCCGACUAACCUAGAUUAAUAUGAAAAAUAUUCCAAUAUUAAAAGCAAGCAGAUAGUAAUACUUGCCUUUGAGCAUUUUUCAAGAACUGUUAUUCCUAUUGAAUGUUCAAGUGCUACGGCCAGGCAUCGAAUGUCUGCACGGAACCUUCCUAUUGAAUGGUUACUCUAGAGAUCAACGCACCGCGAGACAUUGUUUUUGGAAUUUGUUUGAUUCCCCUUCUACAAUUAGAUUAAUUUUUCAUGGUAUAUAUUACUACUAUUAAAUUAUUUGUUUAUUAUCUGGCCUGCUGCAUGUGUGGUAUAGAUGACUUGCUUCUCACCAUUGUUCUCAAACUGUUAUUCCUAUCCAAUCUUUCUAUCGAAAUAUAUUUUAAUUACUUGAUUGUUGUUUGUGUACCAUAACUUCUGUAUAGAAAAAUUCCAUGUUUGUAGAUAAUGUCUUUUGUAUAGAAAAAUAGCCCAAUUAGGUCCAUCACCAUCUUUUGCUUAUGUAGUUGAACAAGUUGCAAUGCUGAACAAAACUUUAAGUGAAAUUAGACUAGGAAAAGGAAUUGUGGAACAUUAAGGCAAGGGUAACCAGAUUGUGGAAUGCAACCUUACUCAGUAGUGGCGAACAAUUAAGUCUUGACAUGAUCCUUAUUGAUCAAGAGGUAUGAUAGAUGUUCACUUUGAUUGCAUUUUUGGUAUAAUUUUUGGCUUACAAAUUAUUAAUGAUGAUGCAAAAUUAGGGAACCAUGAUCCACGGUGUUAUCAAUAAGCCCUAUAUGGAAAAGUUCAAACCAUUGAUUGAAGAAGGCAAUGUGUACAUAAUUGCAAAUGUCAGAAUCACACCAGAACCACAGAAGUAUCGGCCAGUGGGAAAUGACAGGAUAGUCAACUUCUUACCCACAACUGCACUAAAAAAGGUCAAAGAUACUGAAGACAUUCCAAAGUAUAGUUUUAACUUCAUGAGCACGGAUAUGCUUUCAGCAAGAAUAAAUGUGGACAUGUACCUAUCAGGUAAAACAUUACUGGUUUUUCAAUUUUUACACUUCCACUCAUUCAAUGACCAUCUAAUAAUAAUUCAGAUUUAUGUUUCAUAGAUGUUAUAGGUAUCUCAGCUCACAUUGGACCGAUAGAAGAAACAAGGACAAACUUCGGAUUUACCAAAAUCCGUGAUAUUGUGCUCCUGAUCGAGUAAUUCUCAUUUCUUUUGUAGAGAACAACUAUGAAACUUUCAACAUUUACAUGUAUGGUAUAGAACUUCUGUUGAACUAAAAGAUAUCUUCUACAGUGCCCCUACAAAUAAUUAAUUUCGCAGUUAGGUAUUUAAAAUAUUAAUUAUUCACUUUUAAUUUUGUGGCCAUGAAGUUAAAGUUAGAUUUUGGGGAGACAAAGUUGAGGAAGUUGAUGAUAAGACAAAAUCCCAUGUCAUUGCAAUAACAUCUACAACUGUGAGGAAAUUUGGCAGUAAGUCUUCAUUCAAUAUGAGUUAUUCAAUAUUAGUCAUUCAACAAACUAACCUCCUAGGAAAAAUAAAUAAUUGAUAUUUUAUCAGGGUAUUCUCUAUCGUCAACCAAUGCAACAAAAGUUUAUGUAGAUCUACCUAUUCCUGAAACUAAGGAUGCGCAUGAUAGGUGAGAAAAAUUAGAUAUUGUUUUUCUAUUUUAAUCUAUGUAGCAUGCACUCUAACAUGAUACAUUCUUUCGUAUGAUGAAAAAAUGUUAGUUCAAUUGAUAAUAUUGUCAAAGAGAUUCAUUAUUGAGGACCAUCUAAAAGGGAUAUUGGAAGACCAAAUGCAGUACAAUAGAAGAACUUUAGAAGAAUUAAAUUUGAUAUUAUUUGAAACAUCAAAUCAGGUAUGGAUUAGUAUGUUCAUUGUACACUAUACUAUUUAGAGACAUACAUACAUAAUGAUGGUAUUGUUCCUACUUUCAGGAUGAGGUAUUUACGAUGAGGUAUUUACUAUUGAAGCAACAAUAAAUGAAAUUAAUGCAACAUAUGGUUGGUACUACAUCUCAUGUAGUAGAGGCGAUUGUAAGAAGCAACUUGAAAAGAAGUUUCAUCACUACUAUUGCAAUAAAUGUGACAAGAGAGCCGAACCUAAAGCAUGGUAAAUUAUUUAGUAGUUUACAAUCUUAUUAUAAUACUUCUAUUUCUAAUUGGAGAAUAAUAUUUGCAAAUUCAAAAUUAAGCUUCAAAUAAGUGAUCCAACAACAAGUGCAACUUCUGUACUUUUGACAAGGAAGCAGAAAUGAUAAUUAAUGAAUGAGCAGAUUCGAUGAUCACCUCCGUUGAUCAUGAUAAUAAGUAGCUACCAAAAUCAACUAUGCAAAAAGUAGGAACAGAUCUUAAUCGGCUAUGCAAAAAGUAGUAAAUUGAGCAAUAAGAUAUAAAAAAGCUGACAGUCCUAAUUCCAAGCUGUAUAACUGGUGAUAAAACUAGAACAACAUGCAAAACCUAGAAUUCUAGUGAUUAUCGAUAACUGGUGAAUAAAUCUAAACAAAACGACAGCAAUGCGCCCGAAGUUAAAGCUUAGAUAUUACUUGAUAAGCGGAACUUAUAGAAUCGGCCGGAGAUCAAGUUGAUGCAGCCCCGCCAACCCGUACGAACUCGUGAAAAGAAGAAAAGUAUUGGCGAAGUCGCCUGCUCGAAAGUAAAGUGCGAGGAAAUAGUAGUUUGUUGUAUUGAUUUGAUGAUGAUUACAGAUCUAUGAAAGCGGCUAUUUAUAGCCAGUUACAACCAAUCUCUUAACUGACUAGGACUCUAUCUCUAAUUUUAAACGAAAACGAAUAUUUACAAGCAUAAUUCGUAUCGGAGUUGGUCAUCGUGUUCCCAUGGGCCGAUCUCCUUUUUAUCUUCAUAGCUCACUUUAGGCCCAUAUUGGCCCAACUGCUCCAACCUCCCAAUCGGCCGAUUUCCACCAACUCCAUCCGCCGAAAUACUACAGCACCAAUCGGCCGAUCCUCAACUGUAGCACCAAUCGGCCGAUUCCCAAUCGUGACCUCCGUGUUUCGCCGCAUCAGCUGAUUCCUUCCCUUCUUGACGCCGAUUUCAUACGCGUCAAAAUCUGGCAUCAACACAUGCCCCAAGUUUCGGAGUAAAACAUAAUCUUUACUUCAAAAUUCCUUUCAACUUCCCUUCCGAAACAAACGCAUUGAAAAUACCCUUCCGUUUCGCGGUCUUCUGCCUGAUGAUUGCAAUCUUUUCGAAACGGGCGCCCACGACAACCACUCCUCCUGAAAAAAUCGAACCGCCGGCGUGGUAAAAAUUCCGCUUUUACCCUUUCUCAGACCGCCCUUAGAUAUCAGUACGUCCCGUACUUCUUCUUCACGAGCCCACGUCUUCCUUCUUUGGCGCACUGACCUCCUUCUUCUUCCGGCGUCUCUUUAGCCUCUAACCUCUCACUCCGGCGAGUUCUUCCAUCUACAUUCCACCCCACCUUCCCGAUGGCAACACCUUCAGGCACUCCACCAACAUCCGAGGUCCCGGAGACGGCUCCAUCAGCAGCGGCUCCAACAGCAAUGGUGGCAGCUCCAUUGGCAGGAGCAGGAGCUCCAUCGGGCGGGAGCGGGAGCUUCAUCAACGACCACAAUGAGCUUCAUACCAGAGGUUUCUACCAAAACUUUCCUUUCCGCUCCUCUAUGUCGAUGCAUUUACCUUAGAUCAUUUCUUACUGCCCCUUCCAUUCUUUACCUGUUUAGGCAGUUAGGCACCACAUUACUAUUCGCCUCACCGAAACUCCCGGCCUUAUCUAUUUUGGUCCCAUGGGAAACCCAGAUCCAACCGACCUAAUCAAUUUGGAAACCCAUAGGAUCCCUUUCAAGCAAUCAACCAUGGACCUAGAUCACUGGUCAGGUACCUUCAGAUCAUGGCCGAAUGAAACCCCCGGCUGGAGGGAAUGGUACAAAUGGAUAGCCGCCUCAAAAAGAGUUCAAUGGGACGAGCACAAAAUCGGCCAGUGCAUCGACUUAUCUUUGUCCCAAAUGGAAAGGAAUGAGCCUUUAGUAAUAGCAGCCUCCUACUUUUGGUCCGAUGCCCUAAACGCAUUCCCCUUAGGACACGGAGCUAUGACCGCUACCCUAGCCGAUGUGGUCAUGUUGACCGGCCUUGAUAUCUCCUCUCCCGAUACUCCUUUCCGUUACUUGGCCAAAACAUCCCAUCGGCUAGAGACGAAAGGAAUCGGCGGGUGGAAAGGAUUCAUCAAGUGCAACAGAAGGGCCGGGACAGCCCAGGAAAGAGAGCAUGCGGCCUUCUUGAUGAUGUGGCUAGAAAAACACCUUUUUUGCGGGAGGGCAGCCGGUCCAUCCACUAACACACAGGCUUUGGCCGAGGCACUAUCGAUAGGUGCCUCUGUUCCUCUUGGAAAGCACCUAUUGGGAUCGGUUUACCAUAUGCUGCAUCAGAUCGGCGUCAAGCUAUCCAAAGGAGAGCCGAUUGGAAACCCAGGUGGACCCUGGUGGUUCAUCAACUUGUGGCUUAAUCUAUAUAUGAGCAAGAUCUCCCAGCAGCGAGUGGAGUACAUGAUGUUCCCCAACAUCGAAUCGGCAGAGAAUCCCACUGUACGGUGCCGGUGUACUUCCUUCGGUGAAGCGGCAUCGGCCUUCUCCGGUUGCUCAUAUUCUGCUGCCAAGGUGGCCGAAUACUUCAGAUGCUUCUACAAUGGCUUCAGCAAAGACGCAACCAGCUUGUUCCCUUAUCAAAGGGAGGAACCACUCUUCGAGCUCCCCUCCUGUUUUGACUCGGCCACCAGCAAAUUUGAUGAGGACCUCACAGAUGAAUUGAUCAAGCCUCUCGGGGAAGGAUGCCCCCACUUAUGAGUUUUACCAUCCUUCCGUCACAGCACGGCAAUUCGGCUUGGGUCAACUGCCGAUUUAUGCAUACUUCACCGGCCGAGCAAAAUUUCGAGACGAGCUCACCAAAGGUCUCCACUACUACGAUCGGAUUCCAGACUCCAGCACCAUAGACUUGGCCAGUUGGAUAGUAGCCCCUUUCGCUGUUCAGCAGUUCAAGCUAUGGUGGGUGGAAUGGAAGCAACAUCUAUUCUGCGCCUCUACGGCGAUAUAUUGUAAUCUCCUGAAUCCCGACAACAUCGAUCCGAAUGCUGAGGUAUCGCUCUCUUUCUAGCUGAUUUUCAACUCCUUUUUUUUUAUACUGACUCUUAUUAUUAUUUCAGUCUGAGAGCCAUGCUCCCCCAAAAUGCAGUCGGAGUGGUCGGUCGAUAGAGGACCGUUAUCCAUACACAACAUUCCCCCUCAUCGGCUAUCACGCCCCCUCCGUUGAUGACAUAGCCGGCCGAGCGAAGCAAGCGCAGAAAAAGAUUAUCAAGAAGACAAGUCGCCGAGUACGCGCCCGCACAGAAUCGGCCGAUCCACCCGUGGUUGCAUCGGCAGAAAUUUCGGCUACGCCGACCCUUCCGGUCGCUGAAGAAGUUGACCUCCAAGCCGCUAAAGAGGCCGGAGCGGCUGCCGCGUCAUUGUUGGUGGAAGCUAUUCAGGUAAACUCACCAUCCGAUUUUCCUGACAGUCAUUUCAAUACUGACCUUUCCUUUAUUAGGCCGUGCAGAUUGCCUCAGCAGAUCCACAGCAAUCUGCAAUGCCCCAAGCAGAAGUUGAAAUACCAGUGCCCCUUCCCGUUGAGGUACAUGAUCUCUCAACUCACUUCUUUAAUAUUUGAAUGAUGAUCCUACCAACCUUGACGCAGGUCAUCGGCACGUUAACUAUGCUAUCCGACUAGCCAUCUGCCAAAGAAGUCCUUCAAGAGGCCGGCCCGAGCAGAACGCCGAUCGUUGUCGAAUCCUCUUCUUCCGAUGAGCCAAUGGCACCAGUCCCCGAGUCGAUAGUGGUUGUUCCACAAACGCAGAUGGAGGAGAUCCAUUUCAAAGAGGUGAGAAGUCAUUUGACUCGCAUUUACCGAUUCGUCACCACCAUCGGCUGACUCAUUUUCCUUUUAUUUAUCAUUCACAGGAAUAGGACACUCCCAAUAAUAGCCUCUUCUCAUUUGCGGUCGCGCUCUCUGAUGACGAGGAAGUUGCUUCUCGUCAAGUUACUUUGAGCUCCAUCCCCGAUGACGUCCGCGCUAAGCUUGAAAGUAUACGGUCCCUUCUUUAAGAGGACAUCAGCCGAUUGGUGGAGGACGCCUCGCCGAUUCGGCAGCUCUUUGGUGACGUCAACGGGCGAGUCCCAGAGGAAGCAGAAGAAGCCUUGGCACCGGCCGCUUAUAUCGAGUCGAUGCGGAUCCCGGUCUUCAGGGCUCUGCGUCACAUGGCCGAUCGCGCCAAGCUGGCCAAGACUCGUGAGGAAGAGGACUCGUACAAGCAACGGGCCCAGGAGGUACACCAUCGGAUUCACUUCCUCGAGAAUUCCCGACCUGGACUCGUCGGCACGAUAGAUCGCCUCAAGCACCGAAGGGCGGAACUUGCCAAGGAGAUGGAGUAGGUAACCAAAGAAAUAGCUAUUGAAGAGAAGAAGCUUCAGGAACUCCCUUCCGUUAUCGCCGAUUUAAAGCAGGAGAGGCAGCAUUUGGCCCAUGAGGCCCUUAGACUCCAUCGCCAUAUGUCAGAAGUUCCAGGGUCGGCAGAUGAUGACCAACGAGUCUUGGACUCGGCCGAUCAGAUCAGGCAUCGAGCGAUUGCGGCCAUUAACGCCCUUCUGGGUGACUUGUAAAAGUACUAGCCGUUUUGUACGAACAUUAAUGCCUUUUGACCGUCCUUCGCGGCGCUCUCCUAUUUAUUACCCUUUUUACUCUGACAGGACGCGUCUUACCAAACCUCCGCUCUUCCUCUUAUUAUAAAUACCGGCCCUGGUUUCGCUCUUGAGAAUACCUGCUCCACUCGAUUCCUUUUUCCCCCAUUACGUUUCCAUCGGAACGUUCGUAGUCAUGUCUUCUUCAUCUUCUUCUUUCUCCUCUCCUUGUAUCAAUCAGGUACGAGGUCCGUCUUCGCCCUUUUUUCAGUUUGAUCCCUUUAAAUCGUUCCAACUUUUAGGCGGCUAUGUGCUAACUUCUUCAGCCAAGGCACCUUAUCCCUGAACUCGAAUGAGCAAUCGAACUCGUGCACUCUAAUGAGUCGUUGUCGCAAGAGGACAAGGACUUGAUCAAGGAACACCGUGAAGAACUCAGAGAUCACGUUCCUGCCGACGUCUAACGGAUCUGGGACUUCAUCGACGGCAAUGAUUACGGGCGACCGCAAGUUGACAGGAGCCACCCACUUCCUCUUCCGGUUGUUCUUGAAAACGCCGCGGUAGGGACAUCGCGCCCGGUGAUGGAUCGGAGCCAUCCUCUUCCUUGCCAAGUUGAGGCGGAGGCCGCGAUGAGAGAUGUGGCAGAACGAAGCAUUCGCCUUCUAAUGGAAUUAGGUAGGAUUGAGAGGGAACUCAAGAAGAAGCGUAGUUGAGUAUUUUUUGUUCUAAGGGCGAAGUGUACUGUGUCGGUCGUGUAAUUCAUCGUUCGUACUGAAUCACAAAUCGGCCGAUUUGAACGAUUAUUUUUCUCCUUUAGGCGAUUUCUUCUCCCGUAUCGGCUGUGUGAUCGUUCAGGGAGCGAUCUUUCUGUCUUGUCAAUGCCUUGCGAUCGAUUCUUAUGUUCCGACCCAUAUACUGGGGUAAUACCUUUUCAAGUACCUCCCGUUUAAGGCCCUAGUAAAUUCUUCUCCUUCGAUCAUUUCCAGAAUGUAAGCGUUUCCCAGGGCACAUCGGCCGAUUCUAUACAGCCCUUCCCAAGUGGGAGACCAUUUACCGAAUUUAGGAUCUUUUGAUCCAAUCGGCAACACUAACUUCCAUACCAGAUCCCCUUGGGAGAACUGCUUGACUUUGACCUUCUUGUCAUACCAUCUGGCCACUUUCUUUUUGUUUUCCUUGAUACUGAUCAAGGCUCUCAAACGUUGGCCCGCCAAAUCGUCGAGUUCCCUAUUCAUGAGCGAGGAGUAAUCAUCGGCCGUCAGCUGAUCUUGAAGCGACGUGCGUCUCGACCCUGUUCUCAACUCCCAUGGCAAUACUGCCUCAUGACUGUACACCAAUUGAUAAGGAGACACCUUGGUAGCCCCAUGGCAGGCCAUCCUGUAUGCCCAUAGAGCUUCGGUUAGACAUAAGUGCCAUUUUUUGGGUUGUUCUUCGAUCUUCCUCUUGAUCAACUUGAUUAUCCCUUUAUUGGAAGAUUUGGCCUGGCCGUUAGCCUGAGGAUAGUACGGGGAGGAAUUUAGCAACUUGAUUCCCAUAUCGGCCGUGAACUCCUCGAACUCUCCCGACGUGAACAUCAUCCCUUGAUCAGUUGUGAUAGUCUGAGGGAUGCCGAAACGAUAGACAAUAUGAUCCCUCACGAAAUCGACCAUAGCGGCCGAUGUUACGGCCUUUAAUGGAACCGCCUCCACCCAUUUGGUGAAAUAAUCUGUGGCUACCAGAAUGAAUUUAUGUCCUUUACUUGACGGAGGAUAAAUUUGUCCAAUGAGGUCUAUUCCCCAACCUCUGAACGGCCACGGCUUGAUAAUUGGAUUCAUAGCCGACGCGGGCGCGCGUUGCACAUUCCCAUAUUUCUGACAAUCUUGGCAUCCUUUAUAAUACUUGAAACAGUCCUCAAGGAUUGUCGGCCAGUAAUAUCCAUUAUUCCUAAUCAUCCACUUCAUCUUAUGCGCCGAUUGGUGGGCUCCACACACCCCUUCGUGCAUUUCUCCCAUCAGGGUCUUUGCCUCCUCCGUCCCUAGGCAUUUGAGUAGAACACCAUCAAUCGUCCGGUAGAACAAAUCAUUUUCCAAUAACACAUAUUUUGUGGCCUGAAAUCGUAUUCGCCAAUCCACUUUCUUAGAUGGGUCUUUUAAAAAAUCGGCGAUCUCUUUUCGCCAGCCGUCGGCCGCGAGUUCCAGAAUCAUGGCGCCUUGAAUCGGCCGAUACCCGAACGCGUGCUGAGCCAGCCUGUUGGCUUCUUCAUUGUAAUCCCUGGGGAUAUGCUCAAUAACUGUGGAUUUGAAUUCUUUCAGAAGUUGGAGGCAAUCCUCAUAGUAAACCCUUAAUACAUCAUCUUUGCACUCGGAUCUUCCUGUCAAUUGGUCCACGAUGAGCAUGGAAUCUCCAAAAACCUCGACGGUGUCGGCCUUAAUUUCUCUUAACAAUUGUAACCCUUUCAGGACAGCCCGGUAUUCCGUCUGGUUAUUAGUGGCGGAUGCUUCUAUCGACAGAGAGAAAUCAUAGCAUGCCCCCUGAGGCGAUAUGAGAACGAUGCCGAUUCCCGAUCCGGCCCCACAUGACGAGCCAUCAAAAUAUAAGGUCCACGGUACUGGUUCCACGACAGCGAUUUUUGGUCCGCAGUGUUGGGCGACGAAAUCAGCCAUAACCUGACCUUUGAUGGCGUUUGCCGAUUCGUACCGUAGAUCAAACUCUGAUAAAGCCAAAAUCCACUUUCCGAUCCACCCUUUCAAAAUCGGCAAUGACAGCAUAUACUUUACUACGUCAUUCGUGCAUACAACCACGCAUUCUGCCGAUAACAAGUAGUGCCUGAGCUUGGUGCAUGAGAAGUAAAGACAUAAGCACAGCCGCUCUACCGGGGGAUAUCUUGAUUCGGCGUCCAAAAGUCUUCUACUAAUAUAAUAUAUUACCCGUUCCUUUCCUUCGAACUCCUAGACCAGUGCCGAUCCGAUAGCUCGCUCAUCGGCUGAUAAAUACAGCUUGAAUGGCUUACCAGUUUCUGGUGGGACCAAGUACUGCUUGAUGUCUUCUAGUGCCUUGCGUUGCUCUUCUCCCCAUACGAACUCUUGGUUGGGUUUCAAUUUCAACAACGGUGUGAAGGCCUGGAUACGUCCAGAUAGGUUGGAUAUGAACCAGGCAACGUUGGUAAAGAAAACUGCUAAGAGUAAACUAAACAACGCUACAGUAGCAACACUAGGAACGGAUCUUAAUCGGCUAUGCAAAAAGUAGUAAAUUGAGCAAUAAGAUAUAAAAAAGCCGACAGUCCUAAUUCCAAGCUGGAUAACUGGUGAUAAAACUAGAACAAUAGGCAAAACCUAGAAUUCAAGUGAUUAUCGAUAACUGGUGAAUAAAUCUAAACGAAACGACAGCAAUGCGCCCGAAGUUAAAGCUUAGAUAUUACUCGAUAUGCGGAACUUACAGAAUCAGCCGGAGAUCAAGUUGAUGCAGCCCCGCCAACCCGUACAAACUCGUGAAAAGAAGAAAAGUAUUGGCGAAGUCGCCUGCUCGAAAGUAAAGUGCGAGAAAAUAGUAGUUUGUUGUAUUGAUUUGAUGAUGAUUACAGAUCUAUGAAAGCGGCUAUUUAUAGCCUGUUACAACCAAUCUCUUAACCAACUAGGACUCUAUCUCUAAUUUUAAACAAAAAUGAAUAUUUACAAGCAUAAUUCCUAUCGGAGUUGGUCAUCGUGUUCCCAUGGGCCGAUCUCCUUUUUAUCUUCAUAGCUCACUUUAGGCCCAUAUUGGCCCAACUGCUCCAGCCUCCCAAUCGGCCGAUUUCCACCAACUCCAUCCGCCGAAAUACUGCAGCACCAAUCGGCCGAUUCCCAAUCGUGACCUCCGUGUUUCGCCGCAUCAGCUGAUUCCUUCCCUUCUUGACGCCGAUUUCAUAUGUGUCAAAAUCUGGCGUCAACACAUACAUAAUGAUGGUAUUGUUCCUACUUUCAGGAUGAGGUAUUUACUAUUGAAGCAACAAUAAAUGAAAUUAAUGCAACAUAUGGUUGGUACUACAUCUCAUGUAGUAGAGGCGAUUGUAAGAAGUAACUUGAAAAGAUGUUUGAUCACUACUAGUGCAAUAAAUGUGACAAGAGAGCCUAACCUAAAGCACGGUAAAUUAGUUAGUAGUUUACAAUCUUAUUAUAGUACUUCUAUUUCUAAUAGAGAAUAAUAUUUGCAGAUUCAAAAUUAAGCUUCAAAUAAGUGAUCCAACAACAGUGCACUUGUGUACUUUUGACAAGGAAGCAGAAAUUAUAAUUAAUGAAUGAGCAGAUUCGAUGAUCACCUCAGUUGAUGAUGAUAAUAAGUAGCUACCAAAAUCAAUUCAGAAAAUAUGUGAAGAAACAUUGAUUUUUCAAUUCAAAUUGACCGAGUACAACUUGACAAGUUUUAGACCUGAUUAUACUGUUUCAAAGAUAUUUUUUCCAAAAGAAAAGAGCAGUUCUAGAAUUGGUAUGGAAAGUGUAAAAAAGGUAACACUUUAUUCUUAAGUUUUUAUUGCACUUUUUUCUUUUGAAUCCUUAAUAUUUAAUAAUUUUACUAUAUCAAUGAAACAAAUUCUAACCUAAAUUUACAACUCAGACAAAUGCUACAUGAUAACUACCGAGAAUGAAGAGGUAGACACUGAUGACUCUUUUACCGAGAAAGUAACAUUCGUAGAAGAAGCCAUAAGGACUGGGGAAAGAUUGGCUAGAAAAGUAUACUCACUUCCAUCUAAGUAUUCAUUCUAUUUACAAUACAUGCAAAAAAAUAUUAUUCAUGCAAAAUUGCAGGUCUACUAAGCAUUAAAGGAAUAGCGGAUAGUGCAAUAUCUAAUUUGAGCAGCAUGCAUUACAAAGUGCUCUACUGCAAUUAAAUUAAAAAACAUGAUAUAUGUUGAAUUCUUAGACUUUAUUAUUAUACUUUUCUAUGUGACAAUUCACAAUUUUUUAGAAAAAAGAAGAUCCCAGAAGAAGUGACCAUGAAAAAAGGUCUAUGCCCAGCAAUAAGAAAAAAUGCAAGCAUAGAAACAAAUCCGUAGAAAACAUAGAAAAUAAGGUACUCCAUAAACAAAAGUAUUCUCUUAUAUUUUUAUUAAAUAUUUCUUUAACACUUGACAAGUUCUUUUUUAGGAUCAAUAUAUCAGCAAUUCAGAUGUCAUUGGAGAUGAAAACCUUAGUUCGUCCAAAAGGUCAAAAAAAACAUCUGAAGAAAGGUGUUUGGCUGAAAAGGAAAAGCAAGAAAGUUGUAAUGCAGACAAACACAUGCAGAAAAAUAUAAAAACAUGUAAUAGGGAGGCAGACCAAUCUUGCAAGGAGGUAUAGACGAAACGUGAUACACGACCUGCCUACCUUGUCGUGGAUACCCCAAGAAGAUGUCAUAGAGGUGCAGACCAAGCUAGCAAGGAGGUCGAAACGUGAUACACGGCCUGCCUACCUUGCCGUGGAUAUUAGCCCUAAGAUCAUUCUACUGUUCAAGGAAUAACACUCAAUGCUGCUGCUGCUGCUGACCUGGCUCCAUAAAGUUAUACUCCUCUAGGUGCUUGCACUAACUUUAUCUGAAGUAUUAUUCUCUCUGCACUGUAUAUAUGGUUAUGGAGUUUGCUGGAGUAUCCUGGGGGAAGAACCUACAUAAUACGUCUUGGAACUAACUGACAUUGAUUCACAGACAAACUCUACAAGGUGCUGUUGUUGCCAUUUUAGAGCAUCCAAAGGACUAUAAAUAACAUAGUUUACCAUAUACCAUAUACCAUAAUAUGUUAGCUAAAAUAAGAGCAUACACAUGUUGCAGGAGUCCAAAAGCACCGGUUGAGGACCAGGUACAUUGAAUUACUAGAAAAAGACAGGGGACAAGGUUUAGGUAACCACAUGAAACAUUUGAAUUUACUGUACCAUGAACACUUAGUUACCAUGCCGGGAGCACAUAGUUAACACUAACAUUUAGCCACUUUAGAUCACCCCGAAUCACCAAUGACCCUCAAUAGUGACAAAUUUUGGUUUAAAUGCCGUCACCAAUGAUCCUCAAUAGUGACGUAUUUAGGUUUAAAUCCCAUCACUAAUAACCCUCAAUAGUGACCUGUUUUGGUUUAAAUCUCAUUACCACUUAUCCUCAAUAGUGACGUGUUAAAACGCGUUAUCUCAAUGGCAAAUCAUUGGUGACGUGUUUUAAAAAAACAUGUCACUGUGAGAGUCAUUGGUGAAGGGUAAUUAAAAUGCGUCACUAAUGUUGUAGCAUUAGUUAUGAUAAUUUAGUAAUGCAAAAAUCUACCAUCAGUAAUGAGCUUUAGAGCCAUCGCUAAUGUGGGUUUCUUACAUAGUGAUGCAAGCUCUACAAGGUGCUGUUGCUGCCAUUUUAAAGCAUCCCAUGACUACAUGUUAAUAACAUACUUUACCAUAUACCAUAAAAAUAUUAGUUACAAUAAGCACAUACGCAUGUGGAAGAGUCCGAAUGCACCGGUUGAGGACUAAACACAUUUAAUUACUAGAACCAAAUGUAUGUCCAGAACAAAGACAGGGGUCAAGGUUUGGGUAACCGCAUUAAAAACAUUGGAUUUUACUGUAGAUGAACACUUAGUUACCAUUACCAUGCCUUGAGCACCUAGUUACAACAAACAUUAAUUUAGCCACUUUAGAGCUUCCAGAAUCGCUAUAAAUAAUAUACCUACGCCGUACCAUGAAAACAUCAAGAAGAGAGACGGAUACAUGGACCACCAUCAAGCGAGUACUGACAGCACGCACAAGAAUACCCAGAACCUGUUAGCUUGUCUGUAGUGAUCUGUUUUCUUCCCCAUAAAAUCCAUGAGUAUUGCCACAAAUAAUGAAAGAGGCUGACCAAGCUAGCAAGGAGGUAGAGCAAACGUGAUACACGGCCUGCCAAGAUUGCCCUGGAUACGCCAAUAAGAGCGACAGAUACAUGGAUCACACCAAUAUGGUGAAACGUAUAUUCAUCACACAAGCAAAGCUGGUCAGUUUAUCCAUGGUCAAAUUGUGGUCUUUGUUUUCACUUGAGAGCUAAUUGAGGCACUAUAAUAUGGGCAGGCCUAUCUUCAACAGACAUGACAGCUACAGGGAACUUGACAUAAUUUGCUGGACCGCCUGUGCACAAUUAUUUGUUUUAUUGUCCUUGCAUAGAAUGCUAAAAUACUCUUUACAAAAUGUUGGAUCUAAUAUUUGAAAUAUAGAGUAGUAAUCAUAUAUUGAUCAACAACUUGAAAUUAUCUGUACAUUCUCGGUGAAGCUGUUGAACUAAUUUUUGCAAAUUAUUAAUUAAUUCAUCUCAUUACGUAAAGAAAACAGUAAGUGGAUAAGAUAUUUCGUGGACCACAUCACUGCAAACAUGUCAUGGAGAGACAGACCAAGGAGGCAGGACGUGAUACACGACUUACCCUAGGUUGCCGUGGAACCGCCAAGAAGAGAUACGGAUACAUGGACCACACCAUCUUGGGAGUAGUGACAGCAUAUAUGCAGAAGAAUACCCCGUGCCUAUUUGCAUGCAUGUCUCAAGUGAUCUGUUUUCUUCAGAAAAUACAUGAGCAUUGCCAGAAAGAAUGGCAAGAGACAAACAUGUCAUAGAUACUUGCAUGUCUUGCCUUGGAUACGCCAAGAAGAGGGACACAUACAUGGAUAACACAAAUCUAGUGACACGUAUAUUCAUCACAAAGGCAAAUCUGAUAAUUUUAUCCAUGGAGCAGACCAAGCAGAAAUUGAUGACGGACAUGUGAUCUCUGUAUUCAGUUGAAAGCUAAUUGAGCUACACUAAUAUGAGCAGGACUAUAUUCAAGAGACUUGUUGAGAGCUACAGGGAACUUGUAAUAAUUUGCUGGGCGGCCUGCGCACAAUGAUUUGUUAUACAUAGUUGAAAUAUUUCAAGAAUUUAUCAACCUCGUACUCUGAAACCCUUGGUGCAAUGUACUCUGCUUUCCGAGGUAGACUGUUCACGUAAAAUGAGGUCAUGCGUAAGACGGAAUCGGAUUGGAUUCGCAGGGAAUCAGAUUUGGAUAGCACCUUUUAGCCGGUUUUUAGUCAAAUGCAAAUUCGGAUCCAGAUGUGGUUGAAUGCGAGUUCAAAAUUCUACUUGGAUAUCCAUUUAAUUUAGGUGAUAGCAAUUAGCACAAAAUGUUGGAAGAACAAAAUCAUAGUUAGACAUACAAUUACAUGUAUUGUUAAAGUAUAAUACAAUACACCAAGAUUAUUCCUUCAAAAUAUUUCUUAAAAAUAUUAUAAUAAAUGAAUAAAUAUAAUUGUGGCCACCAACAAAUAGUCGGUGGUCACUAAGUUGGAGCCAUUUCUGGUUACUAAUGCGGCCUGCUCCUCGACCAGCGACGACAGCUGAGCUUGUUCCUUCUGACACCAAAUCAUCAGAGUCUUCCCUCCACUACUAUAGAAUGCACCUUUAGCACCAAUUGGGAAAUCCCCUUCAGUAUCGGAUGCUGCAACCUGUGCUAUGAAAAUGGAGACUAAAAGCCUCGGUCUUGGGUACCGGUUGCAUGACGCAUUACUAAAGGAGGCAAAAGAGAAAUGUAACAAAAAAAUAUUUUGAAUUCCAAGAAUGUUUCACUAUUCAAGAUGACUAACUGAGAGUCAUCAGACAAGAUACUAGGAAUGUGGGUGCUUGAAUGCAUUUGUACAGAGGUCAUACUAUUUACAAACUCUUCUGUGUUUCCAUAUGACUACCUACUUCAAUGUCACGCGAGCCAUUCAGGACACAUGGCACACAAGCUUGCAUGUCGAAUCCAUGAUUAAUUAUUUCCACUUGUGAUCUCUUACCAGUAUUUGUCCAGACUAGAAACGUGCAACACAUUUUUUGGAUAUGGACACGCAUAUAUUUGGACUAGUAUACAGGUCACCUUUGGAUGAGUACAAGGAUGACCGGGAGGGACUAAUGGAUACAAGGAAGGGACCAUCAGGAUUAAUAGUGACAUAUGCCACAUGACAAUCUUCAUUGUCAUGCAAUCCCUAUCAACAAUCAUGGAAUCCCUAGUGUACUAAUCCCUGGAGGGUUGUGUGGAAAUUUAUUUUACCUUGCGGUGAAAAUCUCAUGAGCAGUCAUUAGUUAAGCUGACUAGCUGAGAUAUAAUAGACAAGCUAGUAAGAUUGGGAGCAUCAAUGCAUCCAUACAGGGUCACAAUAUCCUUUCCAUUCACUUUUAUAUAUAACCCUACGAAUACAAGUCCAACGAAACGCGGGCCUUUCGAUCAAGAUAAAUUAAAUGGCCCACUUGUAUUUCUAAUCCAGGAUUAAUUAUGCCCUCUGUUCAUCUCUUGCAAGCACGUGCAACACAUUUUCACGAUAUGGACAUGCAUGGAGGUUAUUAUACUGUUUGGACAAACUCUGAUGUGCCAUGACCUGGGCCUGUUUGGUUUGAGUUGCUUAUUAUAAGCAACUUAAAGUUGCUUAAAGUUGCUUAUUUGAAGUUGCUUAUUUUUAGUCUAAACUGUUUGGAUACCCUUGCUUAUGAGCAUUGAAUGAGAUGGACAUUGUCAUAUUUGCCCCUUGUGUAGCUACCCCUCCAAUUUGCCUCCCCACCCUUCUUCUUCCUGCACACGCCCGAUCCCGGGGGCCGACGGCGGGCAGGGAGCAGCAGCAGCUGGCUGGGGCGGCGGUGGGGCGGGAGCGGCGGCGCACACCAGCAUGCGCUCGCACGCCAGGUGCUGGAGCGCGGCGAGGCAGUCGUCGUAGACCGCCGGGAGCGGGUGCUCGGGCGUGAGGCGGUACUCGACGGAGACAUCGAGCGUUGGGCGCGUGGCGGCGAGCGCGUUGAGGAAGCGAUGGUAGUGCGGCGACGUCGCGGACUCCGCCACGAAGCCGCCGCCGUGGACGUACACCACCACGGGCAGCUUCGUCUUGCCGUCGGCGGCCACGGCCGCGGCCUAGGGUGGCAGGUAGAGGCGGAUGGAGCAGGAGCCGAGGUCGACGUCCCCGGAGUCGACGCCCGUGGCGGCGUCCAGGCCGGGCCCGACCGGCGGCGGCACGAGCGACGCAGCCGCUCUUGUAAAUCCAGCAGGUCUGCGCGGAGGCGGGCGGCGGGCGGGAGCGGCGGCGGGUGGUGCGGAGGCCGGCGGCGGCGGGUGGCGCGGAGGAAGGGGAGCUGGUGAGUGGUGACAGGGGAGGGGGGAGAGAGAGAGGGGGGUAGGGUGCAUUGAAUGAGGGCAGGAGGUGUAAAGUGCACCUUUUAGUCCCCAUAAGCAACCAUAAGCAGCCCAAGAGUUGCUUAUUUACUUAUAAUAAGCAACCCCAUAAGCAAGAGUGAUUGGUUUCAUAAGCAACUUAUUUGCUUAUUUUAAGUUGCUUAUGCGUAAGCAUGUGAAACCAAACAGGCCCUUAACCUAUGGUUGUGGCACACAACCAUACAGUAGAUAGUAUUUAAUAAUGCUAUUCGUUUGGUAUGUGCAGAAGGGCACGCAUGAAAUGUCUGGCCCACGGUAAACAAGUACGGACGCUGCAAAUAAUCUACUCUGCUCGUCCAGUCCCUAGCCUAUAAAUAGAUGCCAUGCUAGCUCUUGUUGUGCUCACAAUUAAUCCGAUUACACACGAGCUUCUCUCCCUGGCCAAGACACAAUCAUAGUAUGAUGAAGAACAUGGCACUAGCCGGCAAUGGUAUGAAGAAGUUAAUCCUCGCUGUUCUCUUACUGUGUCUAGUUAUAGGGCAGAUACAAGUGGAAGCUAAGAGCUGCUGCCCAUCCACCACUGCAAGAAAUAUCUACAAUACCUGCCGUAUCACGGGUACAUCCCGUCCAACGUGUGCAAAACUGUCAGGCUGCAAAAUUAUCAGCGGGGACAAAUGCAAGCCCCCUAACGACCACCUCACCCUUGACCCGGACACUGGUAAAUAAUAAAUUUAUCUCACUUGAUUUCUUUGUGUUUUGAGUCGUUAAUGUAUUUUCCAUCUGAUGAAACGUAUUGGUUUUGCAUUGAAGAGGAAGUUAAUGUGCUUAACUUCUGCAAGUUGGGGUGUGCGUCGUCUGUGUGCAACAACAUCAACGCUGGUAAGCACCUUUUGCUCAGACAGAGAAAACAAUAAUCAUUAAUUAGCGGCAGCUAGAAUCCUAUAAUCUAAUAUAUAUAUAUAUAAUUUUAUCAGCUCUGGGAAAUGAAGAGGCGAACGAUGCCGUUGAGAGUUGCGACCAAGCCUGCUCUAGCUUCUGCAACGUGCACGUUGGCGCUGCCACCGUGGUUGCUUAAGCAAAUGCAUCCAACUGGAUCGUCCUUGUGCUGAAUAAUUGGAUAUCGUAUCCACUUAAAGCUGCCUUGUGUAGUACGUCUUUGUUUGUGUCUCUCUUUAUAUUCCAAUAAGGUCGGUGAUCUUGAUGCCACACACUCAGACGUGUGUUCAUCUCCAGAUACUACUCCAUGCUACCUACCCUUUGUGUUUUGUUCAAUAACUGGGUAUCAUAUUCCGGCCAGUGUGCCAUCUGUUUUGUGUUUAUUUCCUUCUAGUUCCAAAGGGGUCAUCAUGAUGUUACCUUCUUUCGAUAUGGUGCUUUGCAUGACUACUGUUGUAUGGUACCAUCUUGUUGGCCAAUAAAUACAUCUUAUCCUAUGACCCUUUGCUAUGACCCUUUGCAAAUAAGUACAAGAUUGUUAAAUACUCGGUAUAAAUUGACUACUGUUGUGAGUUCCCUUUCAGCUUAUUGUAGGCAUACAUUAUUGCUAGCACGGUGAAGACAACCAACACGAAUGAUCAAGUAAACGUACCGGUACUUUUGUAUACCAACACCCUUGCUUAAAUGUACCGGUGUUACUCCCCAUUGGCACAUAUAUUCUUUUAUGCUAGCCGGCUUGAAAAUUAACCGAUUAAAAUAAUUAUUUCAAGAUAGAAAUAACUUAUCGGCUUCUCGAAGCAUGUGUAAUGUGAAUUCAAGGACUCGAUGGAAGUUGAAUCGCUUCAUCUAGAUUGCUUUCAGGAUUUUGGGUAACUAAAUUUAACAUUUGCACAUACAAAUGUUAAUGUACAAAUGUUAAAUCUAGUUACCCAAGCAGAAUAUGAAGAUACUCUAUAGUAUAUAUAUACUAUAUAAAUCUAGUUAACAUUUAGUCUAAAUGUUAAAUCUAGUUACCUAAAAUCCUGAAAGCAAAAUGUAUAAAUAUAUAUCUUUUAAGGAAUCCCAAAGCAAGAGUUCAGUGGCAUUCUAUAGUCCCAUGCUGCUAGUUUGAGUUGGUCGAAGCCAACUUAAAUAGGAGAGCUCUCUCACUUCUCUAAAUACGUAACUGAAGGAGAGAAGGGGGCUUGGGUUAUACAAUGCACGCACGCACGCAUAUUUGCGUUCUUUUCGCGUAACCAACCAUGUGACUUGAAACUUGCGACGUAGCGUGCUGCCAAGUCAAGUUGAUAUAACCUUUUUGCCGUUUGCGUGUAAUCUUUUGACAACGGUCAUUGGAGGUGAUAAGCACGCAGUCAAUACCUUAAUCCUGAGUUAAUAGGGUGGUUACUACUGCCAAUUAGUGGGGCAAUUUUGUAGGGGAAACGGUUAGCAGAGGGCUACCGUCUUCUCUAUAAGAAGUUCUGGAGACGUCCAGAAACACACAUGUACAUGUGAGAGACCCACGAAUUCCUUCCCUUCUCCCUUUUCCAUCUGAUGAAGAGUGCUGUGGUACUGAGCUGCUGGAUCUCACCGGCUCUUCUCCUUGGCGUGCACUGAGGAGGGUGAGCGGUAUCUCCGAGCUAUUGCCGUCAGGAAGCCUGCACGACGGACAACAAUAAAGUUUUUGGGUAGCGCAACUGUGCAACCGCUCGAUUCGAUCGACUAUGUUAUGCGCUGCCUCAUCUUCGAUCUACACUGCAACGCGUAACCCUGCAGCAAGUCUACACGAGGACGGAGCACUAAUCUGUAAGUCCUAGAUUGGUUUCUUACAAAGUUGUAGGUUACACAAGAUCUAGAAUGUUACAUACCUAUUAUUAUGGGUUACAUGAUGUUUUGUACGGUUACGUCUAUUUUGCAUAUGCUAUUUUUACAUACCGUUUACAUGCAUAUGUUAAUGGUUACACCUAGCUAUUUGAAUCUAGAAUUGGGUUACAUAGUAGUAGCAAUGAGUUACGUAAUAUGCCUCAUGUUUAUAUCUGGUAGAAUUUAACACGUAUCUCCAACAUAUUUUGAGGCAGUAUAAAUUUCAAUUCCUUUUGCUGCUCUGUUAAAUACCAUCUUUCGUUGUGGCCCAACACUCUAGUAUGCAUGUAGCACCAAGCUUGUUUGAGCUGCUUUGUGCUCUGAUUUUGCUAUCUGUAUCAGGUUGGACUGUUUCUUUGUCUUGCGAUGUAUAGCUUCAUAUCUUCUAGAGGUUAGACAGCAAAACCCGCGUUCUCUUAAGGCAACAACUCGAAGAAUCUGCAGUGCCCCUGAUAUAUCACUGCUGCAGAAACGAUCUUUAGUACUGAUCUCCAACCCCCUUUAGUAUUGGUUUGGCAAUCAGUACCACUAUGUCGGUACUAAAGGGAGUUCUCUAGAAUCGGAUCAAAUAACCGGUACUAAAAGGGCUCCUUUACUACCAGUUGGUAACACCAAUAGGUAGUAAAUAUUUUGCACCCAAAAAAUUAAAGAAAAACAGCUGGGAGGCUCGCGCACACACGCAUCAUGAGUAAUAUGUGCGUGCAUGGUUUGUAGGAUUCCAACCCACGACCAAGCUAUAAGCACGUAGUUACAAAAAAUUAAACACUUAGACAUUUUAGAGCAUCCCAAAUAACUACAAAUUCUAUAGUUUACCAUAUACCAUAAAAUAUUAGUUAAAAUAAGAGCAUACACAUGUCGGAAGAGUCCCAACGCACCGGUUGAGGAUCAGACCAGGCACUUUGAAUGCACAUGCCAUAAGAUAAUUCUGCAGGACGAUGAUUGCAAUAAUGGACCAUCAAGAAGAUAGGGGCGAUGGGGUUGCCUCAUCAAUUAUCACUUGGCGCAACAAGACCAGCAAAGUCUUUAUCGACAGGGGUGGAUCAACGGGUGGGGCGGGCAGAGCUUCAGUCCUCCUACCGCCGCUCGAACAAUGGAGCCCCCCUUAGCCCCUCCAUAAAUUUUUAGGUAGAAGAAAAAAGAAGAGAAAGGAAGGAAGGGGAAGAAGAGGGAGCCCCUCCUAAGUAGGUCGCCAUCAUGCUUCCCAACGCAUGAUCGCCGCACCGCAUCCAUUCCUCUACAAGCCUCCAGCGUCUCUCCCGCCGCUACCUCUGAACCAUGUGCAGCUGCAGACCCAACUAGUGUCUUGUCCCCCAUCUCAGUCCCAACAGAGCAGCGGCGGUUGCCAGCACAAAUCUCCCUCCGCCUCUUCUUCAUGGUCGAUGGCCGCCACAAGCAUAAACCUCACCUUCGCAUCCACGCAAAAGGGUCGCUGGGGUGCCUUCUUGCAUCGCUUCUCAGCCUCCUUCACUUGCGGCCAGCCAAGAACCGUGCCACCACCUCGGGUGCGCGCCACCACUCCAGGGCUGCUACCCCAUGCCUGCGGCUGCCGCCGGCCACCACACAUGUCCCGCCGGCCACCACACGUGUCCAACCGCGUCGCACCGCUUCCCUGCUCUGUGCCACCACUUGUACCACCAGCUCCACCACCUUGGGCUGGUCGCCAGGGUGACUGAUUGGUGGAUUGUUACUAAAAAUAAGUUCCUUAUUAUCUGCAACUACUAUUAACUCACGGAUACAUGCAUAUUUUGCUUCUCCUGCUAAUAUGUCCUAAAAUAUCUAGGAUGCCUUAUAUUUCUGGAAAGAGGAAGUAUUUGAAUAAAAUGAACCAAUUUAAAAAAAUGUGUUAUACACUACUACAGAAAGACCUAUCAGUGUCAAACCCAAAAAUGUCGUCACCGCCAGUUUUAGGCACCGUUGGUGAAAGGUUGGCGGUGAUGGGCAUCCCCUUCAACAACGGCACUGGAGCCGACGGUGAUUGGCAUUAGAAAACAAAAAAGGGGACCCUACCUAGCCACCCCUGCAACCCGGCCAGCCGUGCCUCCCCUCGUCCCCGCCACCUCGCCUCCCCCGUUACCCCCCUCCGGCGCCCUUGCGCCUAGCCCCCUCGCCUGCCCGACUGGCCACCCUCGUCACGAGAGAGAGAGGUGCAUGUUGUAUAAUUGCGUGAAUUUUUUAAUGUUUAAUUUCAUGUAAGUUUCAUGUAAUAAAUUGUACAAGAUUUAUUGUAUAUAUGAAUUCCAUAUAUAUAUAUAUUUAUAAUUUAAUGUAUGGUUUCAUGUGUAUAUUUCAAUCAUGUGUAUAUUUAGUAGAUUGCCGAUUUUUUUUUACUAGACAAGGGUUGAUGUAUAAUUACGUGUAUAUGUUUAUUGUACAGGCAAUUAGGACAAGUUUUGUAUAAAUUUCUUUUAUUUCAUGGUUGUUGUAUGGUUUCAUGUAUAUACAUUUAUUGUAUCACUAAUUGUAUUAUUAGUUAAGAUGGGAGCCAAAGAGGAUGAAAGGUAUAUAAUGGAGCAGAUUAUUGCUGGCGGUAGUGGCUCAAACGUUGCAAGAACCUACACCGAGGGUGAGGGUAGCUAGGUGGACAUGUACCUCAACAUGUCCAGUGAUGGCAAUGGUGAUGAGGAGCACGAGCAUGACGUUUAUGAUAAUGCGGAACAAGACAUUGCAGAAUUGGAAGGUUCUAAUGAGGUGUGUUUCAUGUUGAUGAUCUGGUUGGCUUUUUUUCUUUGGUCACACCUUAGUUACCAUAGAACUUCGUCUCGGGAGAAGAUUAGUGGUGCUAUGGUGAUUGGAAUUUUAUUGCCUCCAAAUCUGAUUUCCAUCGAAUCAUAUCCCUUGUAUUUAUCUUCUUUUUAUUUGUGAGAGCAUCUUCUUUAUGCUUGCAAAACAAUUCAAGUGCACAUACUACACCUAGGGUGACGAUUAGGAGUAGAAACAAUUGCCAACAAACCAACACCACAUCCUAAGAUUCUUAACUUGUGGCAUAAUUAGUCUAGUAAAAAGAAAGAUAAAAACCUAAUGGGUGUACGUGAGUGCAAUGUGUAUAUGCAUAUGAGUGGAAGGCAUAUAAGCAAAGAUAAUAUUUACACAUAGUUCUAAACACCAUGUUUACAGCUAGGUUGCUGAAUUUCUCCAUAGCUAUAGAGAUUAAUUAACCAAGGUCAAAACACCAUGUCUAUCCCAAGAUCAGUAAUUCUUUAUAGCACAAGAAAAAGAAAGCGCAUUGCAAAGUUUAUAAACCAACCAAUGCAGCAUGAAAACAAGAUGAAUAGCUAGCAAGGUUUAUUAAACUGAAUGAUGAUGGUCUGCAAGCAAGUUUAAACACCAUCUUUACACAAGAUUGCGAAUGGAAAAUGCCCAUAUGAAGCACUAACAUGGAUAUGAAAUCAUUCAUCAUAAAGCGUAAAGAACAACCAAGCCAACCAUAUGCAAAGCAUGAAUGGAAUGCAAUGAAGGUGCAAGAGAACAUUUUUGGAUGAACACAUUAUAAUGAUGGCAAAAUGCAAUGCAUGCAGAAAAAAUAAAUAUGAACAUGAAUAUGAUGAUCAUGGGGCGGACCCACUAUUGUGGCCUGGGUAUUCCUGGGCAUACCCAAUAUUUUUGGGAAAAUGUUUAGUAGUUUUUAAUGGUAUAUACAUGUAUAAUAUAGUUUAGGUGUUAAAAUUGAUAUUCACAGCUAUUUUGGGCCGCAAUUCGCGUCCAAACCAGCCUGGCCCACAGACCACACCCGGCCGGCCGGCCCAUCUAGUCACUGAUCCCCCCACCACCACACUCAGCCCGUCAGUCGGUCAGGUCCCGAGCUCCUGCCUGACCUAGUCCGCUACCGCCGCCAGGUGCCAGGCACAGCCGCACGCACCACGCCGCCCCCGUCCGCCGCACGGCCGCGCCGCGCCCCCCAGCCCCCGCGGUGAGAUCCCGCCGCCCGCUACCGCCAAACCUCAUUAGGCCUCCACCAGCAGGUCCACCCACAAUCCCGAGCGACGCGGCAGCCUCUUGGCUCUCGUCGNNNNNNNNNNNNNNNNNNNNNNNNNNNNNNNNNNNNNNNNNNNNNNNNNNNNNNNNNNNNNNNNNNNNNNNNNNNNNNNNNNNNNNNNNNNNNNNNNNNNCCCCCCCCCCAUCGGGCCUCGGCCCCUCCCCAGCUCCCCCCCUCCACCAGGACUGCUGCUUCCCCCCACUGCGAGGUAAUCAAAAUCGACUGCUCAAUCUCUCAAUCUGUUGACAUGAUGCACACGGUUGCAAAAAUAGAUGUGUCAAAUAGAUGUAUUGCCAAUUGCUAUAGAUGCAUACGGUUGACAUGAAGAAGUCAAAAAUGACAUUUGGUUCCUUGUAGGCAGUCAAAACUGAAGAAGUCAAAAAAUAUUGAUCUGAAAUCAAUGUGGGAAAGGGCUACAAAGACACACAGGUAGAUUCCCUUGUGAACUUUUUAUGUCGUUCGUCUAAAUAUUUUUUUGCAAUGGGCAUACCCUACUCUAAAAUCCUAGGUCCGCCACUAAUGAUGAUGGUCUAAAAAUAAAACAAGCCUAGAUUAAUUAGCCACAACUGAAAUUAAGCAAAGGCUAAUGUCAUUGACACUAGCUCUAUCCUAGCUUUUACCAAAGUCCUGGCACAUAUAGUGGUUGGGCCCACUCUCUCUGCUUCCCUCUCUGUUGCAUGCACGCACACGAGCAACGGGAGGCCCGACGAAGCCCAGAAGGGUUCGGCCAAACCAGUCUGAGCGCCGCUCCCUCCCAGCCUUCGCGCAGAUGCUCCUCCAACGUUCCUUGACCCCUCCCUCAGCGUCCCGUUGGGUUUAACAUUGCAGGACAGGAGUCCCUUUUUUAAAAUCUCAACCACCUCCUCUCCUCAUUCACUCCACUCUCAUCUCCAUCAAACUAAACGAGAUCCACACCAGAAAUCCCUGCUUACCACCAUGGCUAGCAAAGCCCUCGUCCCUUUCACCAACUUAGGCUUGACCACUGAUCUCGAUGGGGAAAUCACUCCGGCAAAUGUCAUUGUCCCUGUCGGGCGAUCUUGCGAUGGAGGAGGUCCAGGCACUAGAGGUCGAGCCCCUAGCCAUCAUACCGCCCAAGGGGUAAAGCAGGGGUGUGACAGGCGCUGCUAGGGGUUCAGCCAAACUCCUAGUUCGGCCAAACCAGGACGGCGCCGCCUCGGCCUCCCGCUCGACUGCACGCUCGCCCUUGCCAAGGAGGACUCUAGAACAGCGGGCGCGAGCGUCAAGUCCCUACAAAAGGCUGAAAUACAAUGAAUAUCCAGGGCCACCCUUGAAGAUGGGUGAACGCUACGCCGGGUCCUUGUUUGACUAGUACGGCGAUGCAUUCUGCCACCGCUAUGAGGAGGACUUGUGGGCAGAAAGUCGGCUACCACAAACUUGCCUCCGAAUAUUUGGAUUGCGAACCUUGGAUGGUGGUUGUGGAGACCCCAAGCCAUACCUCGCACCCUUGGAGAGGUAAUUGGCUGGAUUGCUUGGUUCGUCUCUAGAAUGCGACAAGGUCAGGCGCCACCUCUCACUGCUACCAGUUAGAAGGCCGAGGGGCCAGUUUCAACAUAGUAAUGAGAAUCUCCGAAGGCCACCAUGGUUAAGCAGCUAACCUCCAUGAUCAUAGACUUACGUUUAGAAAAUAGGAGGCUUAGCGAUGCGUUAACAGAGCAGAAGUUAGAAACAGAAGAACUUAAGGACAACUUCCGUGUCCUCCGUCGUGGUCUUUGUGCUAAGAUAAAGCGCUUGUACAAUGCCACGGGGCAUGACGGUCUCUACGAUGCAGCUCAAUAGACGUGCCCCUUGUAUCCCUUCCUUUAGGCACUUUAGAAUAUGUUUAUUUGUUUUCCUUCAUUUUAAUUUCCAAUCAGAUUGUUAGCACCUCCAAUUUAAUUUCAAUAAAGUGUAGACUCACCGGUCAUCCAACCUGAUGGAGUCCUUGUGUCACUUAGUUGUCUUUGGAAGAAGUAGCUAGGUACAAAAUAAGUGUGGGGGAGAGCCACGGACUCUCUAGAGUUGAAACAAUGCACAACACCCACAAAUAGAGAAAACCACGCUGCACCAGCACGUACGUGAAAGGGGAGCCAGAGCUGGACCCAUAGGGGUUUGGCCAACCCAGGGUGUGGCCCACUCGGGCCAUCUUCAUCCACCGCGUCGGUUUGUGUUUCUUUACCCCUGAUCUCCCUGAUUCAUGAGUUUGAAUGAAUUUUAAAUCUGACCAACUAAUUCAAACUCAACUAAAAUGAAUCAAUUGCUCCACCUGCUCUACAUGUUUUCUAUGGUUGGCUUGCAUAUGUUUUAUUCCAUGCUUAUCAUCUUGAUGCUUGUGAACAAAUAUCUUUAGGACAGCAUGCUCAUCUAAGUAGUUGAUGUGUAUGAUAUGGUUUGAUGAUAUGAUCUUCGCUCUUAAUGCUUAAGUGCUUGGAAAAUUCUAUUUGAAAAUUUAAAGCCUUUUUUGAAAUCUCCUCUUUGAUGUGCCAAGGUCCUACCAAAGCCGUAUGAUAAGUUGUCUUGAAGAACCAUUUGCAUAUAUUGCUUGUCUUUGCAUUAAGCUUUGUCAAAGUGGUGUGACCCUUGAAGAACCAUUUGCAUAUAUUGCUUGUCUUUGCAUUAAGCUUUGUCAAAGUGGUGUGACCCUUGUGACAAUUCUUUUCAUACUUUCAUGAUCAAGACUCAUGUGCACACCAUAUACCCCUUGCUAUGCUUCUAUGAGAUGUUAGCAUUGUACCAUCCAUUGAUUCCACAAAAUAAAUGCUCCACCAUAUGUGUUGGUCUCCUUCUAAGAUUAUUGUUACAAAAGAGAUAUGGGCUAUCAAAAAAAAAUAUGAAUGUCCUAGAAAGUUGGACACAUAAAUGUCAAGAGAUCAUACAAAAAGGAGUUUCCAUUCCAUCCACCACAUCCAUACACGUGCACAUCUUGAUCUGAUUGUAUGACUUAUUUUUCUCUUUGGAUCUGGUCUUUGACUUUGCAAUAUAUGUGAUGCAAGUAUGCCUUAUCCUUCAUAGCCUACCUUGAGCUCCACAUAUAGCCAUCAUUAGAAGUAGGAUGAAGAAAGGCAAGUCUAAUGCCUUGGUGAGGACAUAUACACAUUGAGUGAUCUGAGAGAAUCAAAUGAGGAGCUAAGCAAGGUUUUGUUUUGAAAACUAAUUGAAAAAUCCCAAGCUACUUGGCAUAUGGAGUUGCGGUGACUUGAUUCAAGAUCAUUCCAUUCCUCAACUACCCAAGAUGGCAUGAUAGACACUCCAAAGUUCACAAGUGCAGGUAUGGUUUGGAAUAUCUUUUAGGCUCGCUUCAUACCUUUGAAAGUUAUGUUUCACCUUAGUCCUUUCUUCUUCACUCGAGGAUAAGCAAAGGCUAAGUGUGGGGGUGUUGUUGAUGGCUCUUAAGUACCAAAUCUGCACCAUCAACUCUUGCAUAAACACAUAAAAUAUGAGCAUCAACAGUAGUGGUAGCAGUUAUUACAAACGAAUUCCACAAGUCUUGGUGAAUAUUUGUAUGCAGGCCCAUUAGGAGAGAAAAGACACCUCAAGAGCAAGGAAACACACUCUCAACCAAUCAGGAGCAAGCACAUGGAACCAUGGGCCCACAACCGGAAGGAAAUCGACUACAUUCACCACCAAACACCCUAUACCCACAUGAGAACCCAUAGGCAGUGACCCAGAGCAGAGGUGGUGCCAGAGUGUAGAUGGCAGUUAGCAUGCCAAAUUGUGAACCGCAAGCGCACGGAUCAAUUGUUGCUUUUCCCUUAGAGAUUCCCCCAAGGUUUAUGAAUCCAUGGAAUAAGGGAUUUGCACGUUUAACUAAGCACUAAUCAAUGUAAUUGAAAGCUUUUCGAAUAAGAUAUGAUUAUGCUAACAAAGGAACUAAGCAAUCUAGAUUAAGAUGGAUAGAGAGUAAAGGUUGUGAACAAGAUAGAUUAAAUGCUUGUCCUAGGGAUCUAGGAUCACUUGUAGAUGGAAUCGCCAUGCAUAAAUGAAUUAGAUCUAGGUGUUAUCAUGAGUGGUUGUGAACCAUGCCCAACACUUUCCCACCCGCAACACUGUCACUACAUGUGGGUACUCAACUAUCAGAACAUAAGAACACAUCAAGAUGAUCAUUCUAGGUAAGCAAAUAAGCAACCCAAAGUAGUGCUGGCUAGCCUUUUCAUGAAAGAGCAUCAUCAAGAUAAGAUUGAUAACAAAAUAGAUCUCAACCAAAGGUUCAGCGAUUACAAAUCAAGAUCUCCGUAUAACCCCGAUGACAAAUAGAGGUAUUACCCCCAUGAUCUUACACAUGUUGAUGAAUUUUGGGGUAAAGGACACCUUGUAGAUCAAUUGGACCAAAGAUGAUGAUAAACGGGGGCAGGGAAGGCCCAGACCGAUCAGCCUGGGCACUUUUGAGCCGAUCAGCUCAGGGGGUUUCCUCCUCCCCUAGAGAUCAUGGUACACUUCACGCUGAAGAAACAAGAGAUCGACCGAGCCCUGGGAUAGACCAUGAGGAUCAGCCUAGAGGGUCCUAGGCCGAUCGGCCUAGGCCCUUCCUAGCCCUUCUGGUCCUCUCCUUCCUCAUGCUGGCUUUUCUCGACGACCCUUAUCCAAAUAUCCAUUAAGCUCUCUAUACAUACCCCCUUGAUUAUGUCGUAUUUCCUGCCAAAAUACAAUGCUCCAAAAUACAACACAUAUGCAAUAAUAGGGUUAUUUUAGGUGCCAAUUGGUGGGUUAGUAUACGAAUAAGCAUGAAAAUACUGAUUAAAUGGCACUAAAAGUGUGUCAAUAAUGAGCACCAACAAUCCCCCCACGCUUAGAUCUUGCUCGUCCUCGAGCAAGUCUAGCGACUAAAAGAUCUUGAAUUAAACCUGAGCAAGCGAGUCAAGUACCUAGCCUUGAAACAAAAGAUUAGAGGAGCAGCAAAGAUAAUCAAAGUCUGGGUGUUCAAAGAUUUAUCUAAGCAAAGAUUCCCCUACAACUAUUAUUCAGAACCAAGUAACUUCAAGUAUCAACUACACUUAUUUUUUGGCUUUUUUCAGAGGGUUUUUCUUUCAUCAUAAAACAAUCUCCCUGCAAAAAAAUUGGAAAAAGAAUUAUUUUCCAGGUGCUUAUAUGUCGCUUAAAUGAAUGUUGGCUAUCCUACUUAUUUGCAAGCUCUCAUCUCUCAAAAGUCAUUCAAUUCUAUGGUGGAGCUUGGGUAAGGUUAGCUAGAAUCAACACGUAUAUUAUUGAAUUAAGAAAACCCUCUAACGGUGGCCUACCUUCCGAGCCAUUGAUCAUAAGAAUAUCCACAUAAUGUGAAGUUUUCAAGGAUGAGAAGAUAUAGAAUGGUGGACAUGUGCAAAUGCAAAGAAAUAUAGUGACUCUGAGGCACAAGCAAUGUCCUCGUCAUUGGAUUGCAUAUGGUUGGAAUGAAAAUCCGUUCCUUAAACAAGUCCAUCUUUUCUUUGCACCACUCUUGAUCUUCAUGACAGUAAAAACUCCUCCUUUAUUUUUUUCUCUCUUUUCCUAUUAUUUCUUUUUAUUUGUCUCAAUACUUUUCUUUCUUUCUUUCUUUAUUUUAAUCUCUUCUCUGAACCUCCUCUGAACACCACACAAUAAAAAUCAGUUUUAGAUCCUUCCAGAGACCUUCCAUGAAUUUGCUACAUGAAAACUGAGGCAAGGAGACCUCAGGCCGAUUGGCCUGGCCACUCCUUUGCUCUCCUCUAGCUCUUCUUUCUGGUGAAGCUUCCAUAUCUUGUAUCUUUCCAAAAAUUUCAAUAAGCUCGACUAGAAGCAGAACAGAUCUUCAUAUAAUGAGUUGUGUUCAAGGAAUUGGUAAUAAAAUUGAGAAAUUUGUGGUCCGGGUUUACGAAUUCAGUACAAAAAUCUGAUGGUUCCAAUGAAGAACUCUCAUUACUGAAUAUUGACGAGGCAAGCAUUCAAAGAUGGUAAAAAGGAUAUGAUCAAUUCUCAAAAUUAAAGCAAACCAAGAGAGAGCGAUCCUAAUUCAAUUCAAAGUGUCAAAUAUUGCUUAUGGUGGUAUGAAUAAAUAUUUUUAGGCAUUGGGUAGGAUAAAUAAAAACUCUCAACCUGGUUAAAAUAUAUUGAUCAAUCUUGUUUUUGCAGAGGUUUUAAAUAAAAAAUAAAAUUUUAAAUCACCUCCAAUUCAAAGCCUUACUCAUAAAUCAUAAUCAAAACUGAAGCACUUGAUCAUCAUAAAGCAUGGGUAUUGCAUAAACAAAUUGAUUACUAAAACUCCACAACUACGAUUUAGAAUUCAAGACAAUGCUCAUAAUCCAAAGUUGCAAAGACAAAAUAAAAGACAAGCAAGCCAAGGUAGACACUAAAAACACUUGCACGAUCCUUGAAUUUUAUUCAUGCUUCUUCUCACAAAGAUGCUAAAGUAGCCAUGUAGGCCUAAGUCUUCCCAAAAGCUUAAUAAGAUUACUACUUUAUUUACUUUUGGUUGAAAUAAAAACACUAAUUUAGACUCUCACAUGACUCGACUCGACCAAACUAGAUCCAAAAACUCAUAUGAGCGACGAUCUCCACCCCCCCUCACGCUUAAAAUCUACGACCUCCUCGUCGUAACCAUAUGGAGUACAUGGAAAAGAUGCUUGUAAAUGCACUAAUGACGCUACCCGCACUACUUGCACAUGGGAUGGUUGCUGCUUCCUUCACUUUGUUCUUCCUCAUGUUGCUGCACAUCUCGAAGAGCUUCCUCAUGUUCCUCUGCAAGAACUUGAAGUCGUCCUCCUGACUUGCAUGAUGUCAUCGACAGCAUCGAAGAGGUAGUGGAUGUUCUUCCUGCAAGCUGCGGAACAUGUACGAUCAUGCUCCUCUGAUUCUGGCCCGUCGUCUUCUAGAUCCUUCUCUUUGCCCUUGUCUUGAUGGUGGCCAUCUUGCUCCUUGCUCGCCUUCUUGCCUUCAGCCCAAUCCCAGUACGUGUUGUCAUCUUCUUCAUCAUCACGGCCUGCAGCACCCUAUGAUCCAGGGCUCCUAUCGUCCUCCGAAUUGCUAUCACCUCCAUAGUCAGCUGGCGUGUACUCGGGCAUCUUCGCUAUGUAGCUCUUGCGCUUCAUCAUGAGGAGCCUUGCUGAAAUCCUUGUGGGAGUGACGACGACCUCCUUCUUCUUCUUGGGUGCUUCAUCUUCGCUCGAGAAGAUGAUCAACAUGCGAUUCGCAAGCUUUCCGGAUGGUGCCUUGCCUCCAACACUGAUGUGAGCGUUACGAGUAGUCCUUGGUGGAGUUUUGGGACCCUACUCACACCUCUUGGCUUCCAUAUGAAGGGUGAAGGUGGCAGCCAAGGGAGGGGGUGGUGCUGAUCGGCUUGGGGAGGUCAGGUCGAUCAGCCUGGCCGCCUCCUUCGCCGGCUGCUGCCCCCUCUCGUCUCCCGAGCUCCUGGACGUCACCACUGCACUUUUUUUUUGGUUUGGUGGAUCUGAAUUGCUUGUGUAGAUGCAAAACUCAAGCUCCAAUUGGCCUCAUUAUAUACUCUUGAAGUCUUUGUCAAGGAUCCACACAUUUCCAAAAACUUCCUUGCCCCUUCCCGCAAAAAUUCACUUCCAUAAUCUGUUGUUACCAAAGAUGUGAAAGAGGGAACUGAAUCGGAAAUUACAUAUAUUUUUAGACGUACGCUCUGCCUCCCAAAUUUUCAUGGCAGCGCGUAUGUCUAAAAAUAUAUGUAAUUUUUUGAGUCUUACACAAAAUUCAAAUGAAAAUAAUAGAAUUUAAGAUAGUGUAUGUACAAGGUACCUAUUUUAGUGUCGUCAAGCUUGACUUGGCCAUUCUUCCUUCAUGGUAUAGACGUCAAUAGAAUUGAUAGGCACGAUGUCGGCUUCCAAGAAUACCUUUAGCCGCUGUCCAUUCACAAUAUAUUGAUCUCCUUUGACGUCCAUGAUUGUUACUGCUCUGGUAGGUGACGCAGAAUACAUGACGUAUGGUCCACCCCACUUGCUCAUCAAUUUUCCCUUACCGAAGAAUUUAAACAUGGAGUUGAACAAUAACACUUUAUCCCCUUCUUUGAAUUCCUUCUUAUGAGGCCUUUUAUCAAACCACCUCUUGAUUCUUUCCUUGUAAAUGCUUGCAUUGUGGUAAGCUUUAAGCCUCAUCUCUUCCAAUUCACUUAUUUGAAUCCUUCUUUUUACUCUCGCAGCAUUAAAAUCAAGAUUCAUCUCUUUUAUGGCCCAAUAAGCUUUAUGUUCAAGUUCAACAGGAAGAUGACAUGUUUUUCCAUAGACAAAUUUAUACGGGGUCAUACCUAUAGGUGUUUUAUGAGCUGUCCUAUAUGCCCAUAAUGCUCCGUCUAGUUUCUUUGACCAAUCCUUCCCUCCUUUGACUAUGGUCUUUUUCAAUAUAUCUUUGAGUUGCUUGUUUGAAGUUUCUGCUUGGCCAUUUGUUUGAGGAUGAUAGGCUGUAGACACUCUGUACUCAAUCCCCAGUUUCUUCAAACAUUUGCCAAAAUCUUUUUCUAUGAAAUGUGAUCCUCCGUCGCUUAUCAAUAUUCUGGGCACUCCAUACCUAGGAAAUAUUAUCUUCUUGAUCAUGUGAAUUGAUUCCUCUGUUGAUGCCUUCCGACAUGGGAUAGCUUCUACCCAUUUAGACACAUAAUCAACUAUAACCAAGAUGUGCUCAUAGCCAAGUGAAUUUAAGAAUGGUCCCAUGAAAUAUAUACCCCAAACAUCAAAUAGAUCCACUUGCAAACUAUAGUUCAAAGGUAUAGAAUUUCUAGAUGAAAUAUUUCCUUUUCUUUAGCAUUCUGAGCAAGUAGCAAUGAACCUCUUUGCAUAUUCGUGCAUCUCUAGCCAAUAAAAUCCCCUUGCCCAUACUUUUGCUUGAGUUUUGAAGUGUCCAUAAUGUCCUCCAUAUUCUGAUGAAUGGCAUUUCCUAAGCACCGCAUCUCUUUCUUCUCUAGGAAUCCAUCUUCUCAAUACUCCAUCUACUCCAUACCUAUAUACAAAAGGUGCAGACCAAUAGUAUUUCUUAUUUUCAGCAAUAUUUUUUCUUCUGUCAUUCCUAUCCAAGUGAUGCAAGGGCGCCCUUUUGAAGACUCUGAUAAUGUCAUGCAUCCAAUCAUCCUUGUCAAGUAUUCUGUAUAAAUGGUCAUCUCUCAUUCGAUCUUUAAUUGGCUCCUUCCCAUUAUCUUGUUGGUACAUCCUCGACAAGUGGUCAGCUACCACAUUUUUUGACCCCUUUUUAUCUCUAAUUUCCAUAUCAAACUCUUGUAGUAACAAUAUCCAAUGAAUCAGACCUGGUUUAGCAUCUUUCUUGGACAAAAGAUAUUUAAUUAAAGCAUGGUCGGUGUCCACAAUCACUUUAGAAUACACAAUAUAUGAUUUGAAUUUUUCCAAAGCAAAUACUACGGCAAGCAGCUCCUUCUCUGUAGUUGCAUAAUUUAUUUGAGCCUCAUUUAAAGUCUUGCUAGCAUAGUAAAUUGCGUGUACCUUCCCUUCUGUUCUUGUCCAAGUACUGCUCCAACAGCAUAAUCACUUGCAUCGCACAUUAUCUCAAUGGGUAGAUUCCAAUCCGGAGGUUGAAUGAUGGAUGCACUGAUAAGUGAUUGCUUUAAAGUUCUGAAAGCAUAGAGACAGUCUUCAUUGAAUUCAAAGCUCACAUCUUUCUGUAGAAGUUGUGUUAAUGGUUUUGUUAUCUUCGAGAAAUCCUUAAUAAAUCUUUUGUAGAAUCCGGCAUGUCCGAUAAAGCUUCUCAAUGACUUGAUGUCUGUUCAAGGAGCUAACUUUUCCACAGUUUCAAUCUUCGCUUUAUCAACUUCUACCCCCCCCCCCCCUCUAAGAUGACAUGCGCCAGCACUAUUCCUUGCUUCACCAUAAAGUAGCACUUCUCCCAGUUUAGAACUAAAUCAACUNNNNNNNNNNNNNNNNNNNNNNNNNNNNNNNNNNNNNNNNNNNNNNNNNNNNNNNNNNNNNNNNNNNNNNNNNNNNNNNNNNNNNNNNNNNNNNNNNNNNNNNNNNNNNNNNNNNNNNNNNNNNNNNNNGCGUUGAAUUGAUGUGGGCGCAUUGCAUAGACCAAAAGACAUUCUUCUAUAAGCAAAAGUUCCAUACAGACAAGUGAACAUCAUCUUAUGUUGGUCAUUCGGAUGUAUAGGAAUUUGAUCACUAUCCUGUCACUAUCCCCUGGAGAAUUAGCUCAUUCUUCUCAUUUGUCACAACAGUCAAUCUAUCCUUCUUUGGCACGCAAUGCACUGGGCUUACCCAUUCACCGUGUGGUACUGGAUAGAUUAUUCCAGCAUUAAGCAAUUUGAUCGCCUCCUUCUUUACUACAUCACGCAUAGCAUGCUCAAUCUUCUCUAGUUCUCCACAACUAGUUUGUAUUGAUCUUCUAAUUGUAUUCAAUGAGUGCAUAAGGUUCGAUUGAUUCCUUUCAAGGCUUUGAUUGUAUAUCCAAUCACUUUCUAAUGUUUUCUUAAUAAAUUCAGCAGCUUCUCAGUUUCUUCCUUCCUCAACUCGUUGUUGAUAAUGACUGGAUAUGUCUUGUUGUUCCCCAAAUAUUCAUAUUUUCAUCCCUUGGGUAAUGGCUUCUGCUCAACAUCUGGUGCUUUAGUCUCUUGCUGCUCCAAAUCUCCAAUGUCUUCAAAUUUUUUUGCUUCUAAAGUUCCGUAUUGCAGUGAUAAUGCUUCGGUUGCUUCUGCCAGUUCAUCAUCCUGACCACCCUCAUUGUUUUCCAUUGCUCUUAGUAGAGGAUCCCUGAAAUUUUCAGCAAAACAUACACUUUCUAAUUCCUCGUUAUCAGGAAGUAGAGGUAGGGUUUGUUGAGAAGCAGGCAAAAAAUUAUAAGUGUAUUUGGCACUGCCAAGAUUAAUCGUUACUUUGUCCUUCCCAGCAUCAACCACAACAUUAACCAACUUAAGAAAAGGUCUACCAAGGAUAAUAGCAUCAUGGCAAUCAUCAAUAACAAAGAAGUCAGUUGGUAUAACUUUUCCCGAGAUAGCAACAUCUAGAUCUCUAUGCACACCUAGAAAGACUUUCCGUAUGGUUGCACGUUUCACUAGAAAGACUUUCCCUCAAGUCGGUCUUUAUGUGAUCGGAGUAAGCUAUUGGGACAGGAUCCUCUACCGAGGCUGCCCUCUUACUCCCUUGUACUGUCCUUAAUAGUUUCUAACUCUUUAGUUGGUAAUUUUAGAUUUAUCUCAAAAACUCACACAUUGUGUUUGCAUAUUCCUAGGGAGUUCUAUCUUCUAAAAUGAUGCUCGAUCAUCGAUCUAGUCAUGAUCGGGGUAAUUUAUGGGAUUUUUUGCUAGAAGUGGCUUCAUGUCAAGGCGAGAAAGAGAACAGAUGUGGGUUGCUUCUGUAGGUUUGUAAAGAGAUGAAAGUUAGAUUAUUAUCUUGGUAGAUUUUAAUAUCUAUGAAUACAAGGGGUACGUGCUAGGAAUUACCUUCAUUAAAAGUCCUUAGCACGUUUUCCUAGGUUGACUAGAGCCCUGGCUUCUCAAUCUUCAGGUCUUCCGCUUCUACUUCUUGUUGGGGUCAUUGGAGCUUCCACCAGGAUCUCUGGAGUCCGGAUCUUCCAUUUCUUGUCGCAAUUCGAGCCUUACCAGGCUAACGCAUCUACGCAUCUGCUGGACGGCCAAAAAUUUGACUUCACAUAUUUUUUUGGAUCCUUGGCUUCCAACCGGGUCUUGGUUGUGUCCUCGCCUCCAACAAGCAUGCAAUCAUACAAAUAAUUCUAACAAUCAAUUUCUUGCAAUCAAUAUAUGACUAAAGGAAAUGGAAAAAGAAUGGAUGAUGGAUGCUUUAGGAAUUAUCAGAUUUCUAAGGAUAAUUCCAGAAUAAUUGAUGGAUAUCUUAUCCAUUAUUUAGAAAUAUUUCUAAAUAAUUGAUGGAUAGGAUAGUUGGAUUUCUAGGAUAAUUUUAAUAAAUUAAUAAUAGAUUUUCGAGCAGUACGACCGCUAGGGUUUUGUUGAUAUCUAGGGUUUUGAUUGGGCAACAUAUCAACUAGGUUUGGUUAAUAUAGGAGGUUUGGAUUGGGUACUAUAACGGCUGGGUUUUGGAAUGGAUCCUAAGUGUGAUUCGGGCGCUAGGUGUUGUGAAUGGAUUUCAAGGCUAGGAAACUUGCAUGACAAGCUCGGCUUCGACCCUACGACGGGUGGAGCUAGUCAAGUUUCCUUGGGCUUGGGUUGGCUGUCAGGCUUGAGAGUUUGUGCGACGGGCAUCACUUCGACCUGACCUGGUGCUAGAAGUUAGCAACCCAGCGAUAGGUGGAGCCAAGCAAGACCAAGUGGAAGCUAGAGAGCUUGCACGACAAACUCACUUCGACCACUAGGGUGGAGCUCGGGCAAGAUCAAGUGGAUGGAAGUUAGAGCUUGCUUGACAGACUCACAUCGGCCACUAGGGUAGAGCCUGGGCAAGGUGACCAAGGAUGGGCAUGGGAAUAGGCUUGGAUGGCUCUAAGAUAUUUUAAGGAAUUUUCCUAGGGUUUUUGGAAGUGAAAUAAAUGAAAUGCAACUUUUGGUGUGCACUUUAAGAGGGUUUUUCUACUAUGUAAGUAAGAAAAGGAUAUUUUGGCGAAGGGGUCAUAUGAGGUGAUCAAUGGGAAAGGAACACAUGGAUAGGUUUGGAAUAUUUUGGAAAAUUUUAGGAACUUUUGGAGUACAUGAAGGGCUCUAAGUGAACUUGUGUGUGCAUUUGGCUAGGUACGCAUAGCAAUUUCAGGAGCGCUGCCGCAACAGGGCGGGGCUGCGGGUACUGUGGUGUGGAACCGUGGUCACAACGAGCGAGCUGCGCAUGUGCAGUGGGCCGAGGUAAGGCAGGCUGAGCGAGUGUUCAGAUUUAUUUACCGACACAAACAACAACCAGUAAAAUCAACAAAUCAAGCACAAGAGAUACAAGGAUUUAUUUACCAAAGUUCAGAUUCCUUCAUCGAGGAUUCCUACAUCUCCGUUGGGUUCUUCCAAUAAAGCCGAGUCACUCUCAACCCUUUCCCCACUUCAUAUCUUGAUUUCUUCCCCUACGGAGGCGAAAUCAAAGCCUUCACAAACUUUUCAUGGCACACCACAAGCUUGGGUACUCACCAGGUGAUGCCUAGCCAUCUUGGAGGCUUGACCUAGCCACUCAAUCUGUCAAUCUGUCCACCCAACGCAUUUUUCUCUUCAAAUCUGAUAGGAACACUCAAGCUCUAGUAACAAAAUGGAGGGGAUGGAAACACAGAAGCGUAGUGGUGGGUGGAUUGGAUAAAACUAGCUAGAAUCACUUGAAGAUCACUCAACAAGAUCAACUAGCACCGAAUAUUACUCUACGGUUUUCUCAACUAGGAUAACUCGGAGAUUACUCGACGAGAUCAAUUAGCACCGGAGGUUACUCUACGGGUUUCACAAGGAAGAGCAACACUCAAUUCUCGUAUCAUAUCAAUUCAUCAACUCUGCACAACACAUUGCAUAGCAUCCCUUUAUAUAGAGAGGGAGAGACAGACACUUAAUACUUUGAACUCUUAGAAAAAUUAAAUGGACACUUAGGAACUGACUCCCUAAUUACUAGUCUUAGACUCUAAGAUACAUAUGACUCUUGGGAAACAAAGAGAUAAUAAAGCAACUGAAGAGUCUUGGACUUUCGCGCGGCUUCCUGGCAGCCUGCACACUUUACACUAAAAUGACCAUAACUCUUGACUCGGAAGUCCAAAAGAUGCAUCGUUUGUGGUGUUGGAAACUGUGCCAAUUAUUUCUCUCUUUUUCAUUCUCUCUUGGCUUAUAUCCAAAAUCAUAGCAGCCGUUGUUGAACAUUGAACUCAGAUCCAAAAAUUCCAUACAUGGAUCCAAAAAAUUUUCACUGAUAUGUUUGUCCUCAAAAAAGAUAAUACUUGUUGGCGCAUAAUAGAUAGAAACUUCAGGAUUAAUGGACAGAAAAGUGUUCGUCUCAUCACUUUGAAAGAAAUCAUCCAAUAUAUUUUCAUUAACAGAUUCAAUAGGAUCAAAAUCAAUGGAUAUAUUUUGCUCCUCAUCAUAGAUAGGUGGCAUGCAAUAACACCACUUCUUGGAGACACCAUACGAAUCAUAAGAUGCCAAACCAUAAAUCUUGCAACAAUGAUAGUCCAAAACUUCCCAUUUGCUGCAAACCAAGGACAUCAAGUUGAUCAAAAUCAGUACCUUCAUAACCAGUAGCGCCAUGAAGAGCAGCUUAACAUCCAGAAACAUCACAACCAGUAGGAGCCCCACAAGCAACUUGAUGGCCAUAAUCCUCACAGCCAGCAGUGGCACGACCAACAACCUCUUGACGAGGUACUUCACAACUAGCAGCCUCAAGACCCUAUAAGCGUUCUUGUACUUGACGAUUUUCUUCUCCAAGACCUGCAAGGAUCACAUCAUGGUGAUCAUGCUCUUGGUUGGCAAUGUCGUUGUCGGAGUCUGCUUGAUGACGUUGAUGACAAGCCAUCAACCUUAAUCCAGAUGAUAGAAAUCUUGAAGCAUGGAACAAUAGCUCUGAUUAUCAAAUGAUAGGAACACUCUCACUCUAGUAACAAAAUGGAGGGGAUGGAAACAUGGAAGCAUAGUGGUGGGUGGAUUGGAUAAAACUAGAAUCACUCGGAGAUCACUCAACAAGAUCAACUAGCACCGGAGAUUACUCUAUGGAUUUCUAAAAUAGGAUAACUUUGAGAUUACUUGAUGAGAUCAACUAGCACUAAAGGUUACUCUAUGGGUUUCACAAGGAAGAGCAACGCUCAAUUCUCAUAUCAUAUCAAUUCAUCAACUUUGUCCAACAAAUUACAUAGCAUCCCACCCUUUAUAUAGAGAGGGAGAGAUAGACACUUAAUACUUGAACUCUUAGAAAAACUAAAUGGAAAUAAAGAGAUAAUGAAGCAACUGUAGAGUCUUGAACUUUCGCGCACCUUCCUGGCAGCCUGCACACUUUCCACUAAAAUGACCCAUAACUCUUGACUCGGAAGUCCAAAAGAUGCCUCGUUUGUGGCAUUGGAAACUUAACUCAUAGGACUUUCUAAUGAUGUAUCAUAUGAAUACGGAAACCAAGUAGAUCAGUACCAGAAAUCCAUGAAACUUAGAGAUGUUGCUGCAUGUUCUUCCAACUUGUGUAAACCACCACCAUUUCAUGUAACCGGUUGGUUUACCUUCCCAUGAGGAUAUCAAAAUAUCUUGAAAAUCUAGAGAGGGGAGAGCUUCUUCGGUCUGUGAAUAUGUCUUUUUUGUGUGGGAAACCAGUAGCAGCUAAUGGGAGGCGGUGAGUGGUACAAAUACCUAUCCCAAAAAACUAGCUGUUGGGCUGUUAAGUUCCAGAAUCUCUGGAAAAAAUCUCCGAAAACUCUGGAACCCUAAAACUAGCCAUUAGAUUCAAAAAGUUUCAAACACUACGAAAAAUCGUAAAUUUGCCGAGUGUUUUUUCCUUUGUCGAGUGUUUUUUUUCGGACACUCGACAAACAAGCUCUUUGCCGAGUGCCGAGCUAAAAACACUCGGCAAAGAAAAAACACUCAACAAAGAGGGGCUUUGCCGAGUGUCAAAAACAAAACACUCAGCAAAGAGGGGCUUUGCUGAGUGUUUUAUUUUCACACUCGGCAAAGAAUUUUUUUUUUGAAAAAAAAGUCUUGCCGAGUGUCCAGAUUGGGACACUCGGCAAAUGUCAAAAAUAUAUCUCCCGUCCCCGACCCCCCUACCCCAGCACCCCACCCGCCCGACGCCCCCCUCCUCUUCCUCCGCGCAACACCGGCCCCCACCUCCCUCUCCCUGCCGCCGGCUAGCUGCCGCUGCCGCCGCCCCUUCCCUCCCUCCCUCCCUCUCCCUCUCCCUCUCCUACCGGCGCCCCUCCCCCUCCUCUCCCCUCCUCCCUCCCUCACGCAGCCGCCCCCUCUCUCCGGUGGCGACCUCCGGCCGCCGCCCCGCGCCUCCUCCCCGGAUCCGGCGGGGACUCGCAUCGGGGACGCCGGAUCUGGCGGGGACUCGCGUCGGGGGCCCCGGGAGUGGCGGUCUUCAAGCGGCGGCGUGGAGAUGUGGUGGUGGUGGUGGUCGGCGGGAGGCAGCUCGUGGUGGUCUGCAGGCUGUGGUGGUGGUGGUGGUGGCCGGCUGUGGUGGUGGCAGCGGGCGUGGAUGGUGGCCGGCUGUGGUGGCGGUGGCGGCGGUGCGGAUCGUGGCGGCGGGCGUGGAUGGUGGUGGCAGGUGUGGAUGGUGGCCGACUGCGGUGGUGGCGAUGCCGGCGUGGAUGGUGGCAACGUGCUGGUGGUGCUGCCGACGGUGUCGGCAUGCCUUUUUUUUUAUUUUUUUCAAAAAAAUUGUUUGCCGAGUGUUUUCUGGGCACUCGGCGAAAGCUUUGCCGAGUGCCCGACCGAAAACACUCGACGAAUGUUACUUUGCCAAGUGCCAGAUGCCGAGUGUAACACUCGGCAAAUUUGUUGCCGAGAGUAUUUUGGGUUUCGCCGAGUGCUCCUGGCGCUCGGCAUAAAACCUGUGUCCAGUAGUGGAAAUCUCCACAAAAAUCUCUGGAAACUCUAAAUAUUUUUGUUCUCUCAAAAAUCUACAGAAACUCCACAAAAUUCUCCGAAAUCUCUGCAACUUACCGAUUCUCCGUAGAAUUCUCUGGAAUUUCCGCAAGUCCACUGGACAACAUAAGUCACCCAAGAGAAAGGGAUCUUGGACUCUAAGGAAAUCUUGUUCAAAGAACUAUCCAGUCCAAUUUAAAACAAGCCACCAGAUCACUCAGUGCAAGUGUUGUGACAAGUGUUUCUCUCAUGUUAAAACUUGAAAGGAUAGGUUUGAGCACUAAGGCAUAGGUGAAGCAAUCAUUGCAUCCCUCUCGAUAGCACGGCAUUACAUAUACUCAAGAUCAAAAAAUAGACACAAUAUCAACCACUUGAGCUUGAAUACCUUCACCAUGCUGCUUUUCUUUAAAAUCACACUUUGAGGUGUUUGCAAGCAUUUCUUUCUCUUUCUAUCGGUGUUUUAGACCGGCAACCCGCCUAGGGGUACCCUAGGUGGUCUUUUAUGCGGUAAGGGUCGUCGAGAAUCAAGGAAUCAAUGGUGACACAAGGAACACGAUUUAGACAGGUUCGGGUCGCUAGAUCGCGUAAUACCCUAUGUCCUGUAUGCUUGUAUGUAUUGAUCUUAGAUGCACUUGGAGUUGUUCUGUUUGAGGGGGGUCCCUGCCCGCCCUUAUAUACACGGGAGGGCAGGGUUACAAGUCUGAGUCCUAGUCGAGUACAAUUACAGAGUUCUACUCGGUAUGGCCCGAGUAGUUUUCCAUAUGCAUACUUGACUAGUCCGAGUGGAGAAGCCUAUCCCUUUGUCCUGAUCAUAUCCGAGUACGUCCCUUAGUGGGCUGUCCAAGGUCUACUCGUGGGCCUAGGGUGCAUGCUCGACAAGCCCCCGAGUACUUUGUAGUCGUGCACUGUAGUCUUGAGUACUGUGGGCAUUAUCUGAGUAGUUCUUUUGUAGAGGUUGCGGUGUCCAAAGUGCUCGAGUAUUGUUCGCGUGGCUGGAAGGUACUCUUCUUGCUCCUUUGAGUUGCUUUUGUUCCGAGAAUUUUUUAUAUGGUAGUGCGAUGACAAUCGUACUCCAUAUGGAGUAGCCCCAGAGCCUUAGGUUGAGUCGAAGAGUCAGGCUUAGGGUCAAUCCUGCUUCUUGGCUGUUUUACUCUUGGUAAUCUGAAAAAGAAAAUUCUGACCAUCGGGUACGGUACCCGCAGCCCCCGAGCACUUAGGCAAUUUUUUUCGUUGAAGUGGUCAAGACCCAUUGAACAGAGUAUCCGUUGGGUGUUUAAGGCAAUUAAUUUGUUUAAAAACCCAUCCGUUGCGUAACUAAUGCUUGGAAUCCGGAGGUGGCGGAGAUAUAAUCGGAGGGCCCCCUUUCAGUUAGGUUUACGCCCCACUGUAGCAGAUCUGUUUCUCUUCUUCCCCCACCUUUCCAUUCCUGUUUUCCUCCACCGUGAUUGUCUAGCGCCGCCGCCACCGUUGCUGCUCCUCUGAGAGAGGUCCGAGGUUGAGUGCAUUUUGCUGCGGGUGAAGCCGGUGGAUGCGCACCAAGAAGAUGGGGAAAAAACCCGAGAAGGCUCAAGGCAAGGCUCCUGCGGCGGGCAAGGUGAAGUCCAAGAAGGGGAAGGAGGUGGUGCUACUGGCGCCGAAGGUAGGGCCGACAAACCAGACUGCGCCGCUGCCGCCUGGAGCGAUGUGGUAGCAUUCGGUGAUGAAGGAGGCGGCCAUUCAGGUGCUUGUCGAUGCCAAACUUCUGCACUCGAAAUAGGUACUCGAGUGGAGGCCUACCUUCGCUGACGCGUGGCAAUUCGAGAAGCAUCCGAAUGAGACGGUUAUGCUUGCUCACUUUGUGGAGAGGGGGUUGGCAGUGCCCACCUCCGACUUCUUCAGAGGUAUUCUUGAGUACUACAAGCUUCAACUUGUACACUUGAACCCCAAUGGUGUACUGCACAUGUCUAUUUUUGUGCACCUUUGUGAAGUUUACUUGGGAGUUCCUCCUAGUCUUGAGAUGUUUAGGAAGUUGUUCCGUAGCAGGCCUCAACCUAGUGCUGUUAGGACAGAGGUCUUUGGGGGCGCUGGGUUCCAGCUCAGGAACUCAGGCGCGUAUAUUGAAUAUAACUUGACUGACUCCCAUGGGAAGUGGAAGAAAAGGUGGUUUUAUAUUGGGAACCAUAACCCUCGCUUGCCGGUGGUCACUGGUCAUGCGCCGAAGCACGCAGAGAAUUGGGUGAGCGAGCCUGAAGAUAGCCCAGAGCUCGAUCACUUAAUUCCCCAGAUUGCUGAGUUGAAGGCACUCGGUUUGACUGGAGUCAAUCUGGCAGCCAGCUUCCUCAAGAGAAGAAUUCAGCCCUUGCAAAAGCGGGCGCACUUGGGUGGGGAGUACUCAGGUUUUAAUGACCCGUCCCGUAUGUCUCCGGAUGAUAUUUCUGAUGAUGAUGUUGAGGCACUGUUGGCCAAGUUCUUUAGGAAUUAUCAAGGAGUACUAGUUAUUCCUUCAACGCUUCGUCAGUUUGAUGCUUGGUAUCAGCCAGAAGUGGUAUGGUCUUUCACUUUGAGUUGUACUUUUUGAACUGUUCGGGAUAUUGUUUGAGUGUCGACUUGCUUUUGUAGUCCCGAGUUCUUACUGGCUACUUGGUGUAGUCGGAAGAAGAAGAAUCUGUUGUUGAGGAGUCAGAGGACGAGCCCUCUCCUCCUGUGAAGAAACGCUGAGUAGUCCGCAAGAUGUCUGCUGCUAAGUCUACCACGACUUCUCCUGAGAAGUCUCGGGGUGCCAAGGUAUGUAGCUGUGUACUCACUUGUAGCUGACGGAUUUUAACUUGUAAUCUUUGAUCACUUUAUCUGUCUUCAAAAGGCUGACGACGCGGCGCUUGGUGACGAUGAGGCUGCUUCGGAUGAAGUAGUCAUGAGCGCCUAGGGUGUUGAUGUUGUGUCUGUUGAGAAGGUACUAGGGAAGGUGCCACCAACAGAUGCUGGAGUAGCCCCCGAGCUGACAGUCCAAGCUCCAUCGGCUACCGCGCUGCCGGUCCCAGACCAGGCAGUCCUGGGUUUGCCUGCUGGAGUGGCGGACGAUGUUGGGAAAGGAGUAUCACCAGUAGUUGCUACUGGUUCUUUGUCGUCCAAGGUGAUUGCUAGUGGUGAGCUUUCUUUCCCGACUGGUUUCGUUAGUCUGAGUUGUAUUUUAGUCUUGACCCUGUGUUUCCCAGGUCUUGGCGAGAAGACAGAGCCAGCAGCUGCUCCCGUGGCGUCGAGUACUCGGCCACCUGUUGCCGAGAAGAAGCGUGUGCGAUUGCCGCCACGAUCAACUCGGUGAGCUGUUUAUCCUUGGUGUGUAUCUUCAAGGUUUCUUCAAGUCGUGUAAUGACUUUGUAUUUUGAUGUAGGGAUGCGGAGGAGACUAUCCCUGUGGAGGCAAGAGUAGAUUCGUGUCCCCCGACUACUCUUUCUGCUCCUUUUGAGGAUUUGACUGUCGACAAAGUAUCCGGAGUUGAUGCUAGUCAUCUUGGAGCGUCCAUGUCUAUGCUUCAAGAAGUGAUCCGCUCGGUGGAAGAUCCCCCUGCUGCCUCGGGUUCUAGGAAUGUAUCCUUGUCAGCGUCUACUGGCGGAGAUUUGGCUGUAAUUGAUGCAGGGAAAUCUAAGGAACCAGCUACCCUAGGUAUGUAUCCGCAGUCUUGGUAUUGUAUUCGUAGUAUUGAGGUGGCUGAUGUUAAUCUCUUAGGUACUGCCUUGGGUGCAGCUCCUCAUCUUGCGAAGAGUACUCAAGGUCCAGUAAUCGGGCUCCCGUCUGAGUCAGAGUUCCAGAGAGCUGUCAAUGUUUUUCAAAGCUUCCAGGUGUGUUUUAUUUACUUAUCUAACAGGUUUAGUAACUAGGGGAGUUGACCGUUUGCUUUGCUGUGUAGGAUCUGUAUGACCAAAUGCAAAGGAACACUCGGGCCCUUCAGGAGCGGAACGAGCAAUUGGAGCAGGAGUGUGUCCGACUUGCGGAAUCCUUGAGGGUUCAUGAAGCUGGAGGGAAAUCCUUUGCUGUGGAGCGGUCAGAUCACGAAGUCUUACAGCAAAAGCUAGAGAGCCGCUACAAGUCUUUGAAUAAAAAGUAUCAAGGUGAGUACUUUUCAUGUUCUGGGUAUGUCCGACUAUUGUCGGUUGUGUUUGAACUUGGCCGUUUUUGCAGAACUCAAGAGGAAGGAGGCUACUGCAAGUAGCCAACUCCUUGAUUGGAGAAACUCGCAUGACCGAGUAGCGGAUGAAGCUGAACAUCUUCAAGCCGCGCUGACAGAGGCACAGGCUGCCUGCGAGCAUCAACGGGAUAGGAAGAUCCAGAAUGGAGUGAUGCUUGCUAUGGCCAUAGUGGUGUGCAGAGACCAUGCCCAGACCGUUGGAAGAUUUUGAAGCGAGCUCCAAGAGUUAACUGAUGCCGCUCAAGACUUGGUGAACGCCAUUGCCCCCUUAGAAGAGGAUGCAGGACCUCAAUCACUAGUCGAGCGCUUCAAGGCUGCUCCGGGUAAGGUGGCAGGCCUCUGCAAGGCUGUUUGCAAAUAGCUCCUUGCUAUGGUAAGGUCAUACUACCCAAGGGCAUAUUUUUCAACGGCUGGUGACAGCGUUGCUCGCAAUUGCACAGAGAAAGCCUAUGCGCAGUACCUCGAGGAGGCGGAACCAAUCGCGUCGAAGAUGUCAGAAUUUGUAUCUCUGGAGGAGCCUUGAGCGUUUAUGUACUCUUGUAAACUUUCGAGUACUUUGAAUGAUAUUGUGUCUGAGAGUUGAACACUUGUCUAUACUUUGUUGUUUGAAGUGGGUCUGACCCAUCAUGGGUAAGGAACGUUUUACUCUAUCUCACCUGACCCAAGGUCCCAUGGAUAGACACGCCCGACCCUAUGAGGAUGGAACUCCGCCUUGCCCGACCCCUUGCCGUAAGGCUUCAUAUCGCCCGACCUCGGGUGUAGGGAGUCGGACUCAACUGGGCCCCCAGGACAAGGAUCCGCUACAGGCACAACCCAGGUUUUGGCAGAAGUUGUUCUGAGGAUUGAGUUUGAGUAGUCACGAUGUAGUCGAGUAACCUUGUUAUUCUGUGAAUAGGAGGUGCACGGGUGUACUGUACUCUUUUGUCCUUCGUGGCAUGAAUGCUUUCACGUGGGCAGUCAGAGAUCAUCCAGACUCAUCGAUCACGGGCGCAUAGUAAAUUCUGGGUGGUUGAUGGUUGCAGCCCUUGGCUAUAAAUAGACCCUCCUGGAGGUCGACCCUGAAUCAAGCUUUGAGUAGCGCUAGAUUGCCUUCGGUUGCUGUUGUUUGAGUGUAGAGAGCCUUCAAAGAGUACACCGGUGCUAGAAGAUUCCUCGUAGGUCCCUGCACAGACUCUAGCGCUCAUAGGGAUAGCUGCGAUGCUAGAAGAAUCCUCGUAGGAGGUUUCAUCGCUGUCGUUUUGGAGUAGCUUUGGGAUCAACAUUUAGAGAGUGUUCGAUCAGCUCCUUGGGCACACCGGGCAUGUCAGCUGGUUUCCAAGUGAUGAUAUCGUGGUUAGCCCAAAGGAAACUGAUGAGCACGGAUUCCUAUUUAGGAUCUAGCCCUGUUCCAAUCAGGGCUGUCUUGGAGGAGUCACCCGUCUGGAGAUCGACUGGUUUGAAGUCUUGCUUGCUUGCGGGUUUCACCUUUGUAGACCCCGACUUGUUUUCUGGGAUCUCGAGUUCGGUUAGAUGGAGUUUCUUUGAAGCUGUGAAGACUUAUUGCAUGGGACUAGGUGUUUGAGAAGUCGCAGCGAUCUCCACGGCUUUAGUGUCGCAUUCAUAGGAUCACCGUAGAUCUCCCCGUAGCGUUAGUUCUCCCUUGGGACCUGGUAUUUUGAGUACCAAGUAAACGUAAUGUGGUAUAGCCAUGAACUUGGCGAGUGCUAGCCUUCCGAGUAUGGUGUGGUAGGAUGUCUCGAAAUCGGCGACUUCAAAUAUGAUAUAUUCGGUGCGGUAGUGUUCCUUAGUUCCAAAGGUAACUGGGAGGACAACUUGUCCAAGUGGUAUAGCUGCAUUUCCAGGUACGAUGCCAUAGAAGGGUGAAUCUGUUGGGGUCAACAUUUCUGUGACGUCGAGGCACAUCUUUCUUAGUGUUUUGGCGAAAAUGACAUGGAGUCCACUUCCACCAUCGAUGAGUACCUUUGUCAGCUUUGACCCUGCCACAAUGGGAUCGAGUACUAGAGGGAAUCGGCCUGGUUCUGAGAAUUUUGUCCACUGGUCUUUUCUGCUGAAGGAUAUGGGUACUUCGAACCAUUUAAGUGGUGUUGGAUCUAUUGGCUCGAUGGCCAUGAUUUUCCUGAGUACGAGUUUGUUGGCUCGCUUGGAUGCAGUGCCUGGGAUUCCGCCAAACAUGACGUUGACUGUCUUGGAGGCGGUCUGGAAGUCGCCUUCUUCUUCGUCGUUGUGGUUGUUCUUGCCCUUGUCCUUUUUCUUGUUGUAUUCUUCAGGGGGUGGUGGUGUGGGUAAGUCUUGCAUGACUUGACGCAUGCUGUAGCAAUCUAUUGCCGAGUGCUUGCUAGUCGGGUGCCAUGGGCACUGCUUUUUGAGUAGCUUGGUGAAGGUUGGCCCUUCAUCGUUUUUACGGGAUCCCUUUUUCCCGGAGUUGGUCAUGGCAGCAACGGUGUUGUCGGGCUUCCUUUUGCGAUUCUGAUUACUCGAAAAGUUAUUUCAAGUAUCAUUGUGCUGAGUUCUAUCUUGGUCAUUGUUGUUGUCGCGUCCUCGGUUGCGAUGAGAGCCAAACCAUUCACGCUCUUUGUCUUCUUCAUCCGCCCACUAUUGCACCAUGACUUUGAGGUCUUUGACGUUAGCUGGUCAUCAUUGACCGAAGUCUUGGUAUGUUCGCCGAUCAUAGGGUCCGUUCUGGAAACACUCGAUGACGUCUGUUUCUGAAAUGUCAACUAUAGUUGCCUUCUUUUCGAAGAAUCAUCUCAAGUAGUCGCGUAAGCUUUCACCUUCUUUCUGCUUUAUUUGACUCAAGUGGAUCUUGUUGCCUGGUCUAGCCAUGGAGCCAGCAUAGUUGUUGGUGAAAGCCUUUGUCAAAUCUGCCCAAGAGUCAAUUGACUUGGGUUUGAGUGACUCAAGCCACGUCAGUGGUUCGGGUUCCAUGCAUAUGGGAAAGUGGAUGACUUUGGUGUCGUUAUUGCCCCAAGCUGCUUGAACUGCUAGCGAGUAGCAUCGUAGCCAUUGAAUUGGGUCUUGUUUGCCAUCAUACUUGGUGAUUCCUGUUAGCUUCAACUUCUUGGGUAGUCUUGUCUUCAUUACCCUAUUUGUGAAAGCAGGAAAGUGGUUGUAGUUGUCGACUUCUCGCUCACGCCAACUGUUGAGUAUUUCUCGUAGAUCACUAAAGUUUGACACUUCGUGUUUCUUCUGAGUAGGGUGAAUACUUUUGUUGGCGCUAGAAAUCAGCCGAUUGAAUCUCUAGCGUCGGACACACGACCCGGGAGAAUCUACUUAACUCCUGUUCCGGUGAUCGCCCUGGUGCGGUUCGCGCGACGUGCCAGCCAAUCUGACCUAUUGAUUGGCACGGAAAGAAACGUGUCAGGUCCUAGAGGUUGCGAUCGGCUAAGGUUCCGAUCUUGAGAGAGCUUAUCAGCGAAUGGGUCGAUUUGCUGUAAUAAAGGAAUCGGCUAUAAUACAGCCGAUUACCAGGCAACAUUGGUAAAGAAAACUGCUAAGAGUAAACUAAACAACGCUACAGUAGCAACACUAGGAAUAGAUCUUAAUCGGCUAUGCAAAAAGUAGUAAAUUGAGCAAUAAGAUAUAAAAAAGCCGACAGUACUAAUUCCAAGCUGGAUAACUGGUGAUAAAACUAGAACAACAGGAAAAACCUAGAAUUCUAGUGAUUAUCGAUAACUGGUGAAUAAAUCUAAACGAAACGACAGCAAUGUGCCCGAAGUUAAAGCUUAGAUAUUACUCGAUAAGAGGAACUUACAGAAUCGGCCGGAGAUCAAGUUGAUGCAGCCCCGCCAACCCGUACGAACUCGUGAAAAGAAGAAAAGUAUUGGCGAAGUCGCCUGCUCGAAAGUAAAGUGCGAGGAAAUAGUAGUUUGUUGUAUUGAUUUGAUGAUGAUUACAGAUCUAUGAAAGCGGCUAUUUAUAGCCAGUUGCAACCAAUCUCUUAACUGACUAGGACUCUAUCUCUAAUUUUAAAUGAAAACAAAUAUUUACAAGCAUAAUUCUUAUCGGAGUUGGUCAUCGUGUUCCCACGGGCCGAUCUCCUUUUUAUCUUCAUAGCUCACUUUAGGCCCAUAUUGGCCCAACUGCUCCAACCUCCCAAUCGGCCAAUUUUCACCAAGUCCAUCCGCCGAAAUACUACAGCACCAAUCGGCCGAUCCUCAAUUGUAGCACCAAUCGGCCGAUUCCCAAUCGUGACCUCCGUGUUUCGCCGCAUAAGUUGAUUCCUUCCCUUCUUGACGUCGAUUUCAUAUGUGUAAAAAUCUGGCGUCAACACAUGCCCCCCAGUUUCGGAGUAAAACAUAAUCUUUACUUCGAAAUUCCUUUCAACUUCCCUUCCGAAACAAUUGCAUUGAAAAUACACUUUCGUUUCGCGGUCUUCUGCCUGAUGAUUGCAAUCUUUUCGAAAUGGGCGCCCACGACAACCACUCCUCCCAAAAAAAUCGAACCGUCGGCGUGGUAAAAAUUCCGCUUUUACCCUUUCUCAGACCGCCCUUAGAUAUCAGUACGUCCCGUACUUCUUCUUCACGAGCCCACGUCUUCCUUCUUUGGCGCACUGGCCUCCUUCUUCCGGCGUCUCUUUAGCCUCUAACCUCUCACUUCGGCGAGUUCUUCCAUCUACAUUCCACCCCACCUUCUCGAUGGCGACACCUUCAGGCACUCCACCAACAUCCGAGGUCCUGGAGACGGCUCCAUCAGCAGUGGCUCCAACAGCAAUGGCGGCAGCUCCAUUGGCAGGAGCAGGAGCUCCAUCGGGCGGGAGCGGGAGCUUCAUCGACGACCACAAUGAGCUUCAUACCAGAGGUUUCUACCAAAACUUUCCUUUCCGCUCCUCUAUGUCGAUGCAUUUACCUUAGAUCUGUUCUUACUUCCCCUUCCAUUCUUUACCUGUUUAGGCGGUUAGGCACAAGAUUACUAUUCGCCUCACCGAAACUCCCGGCCUUAUCUGUCUUGGUCCCAUGGGAAACAUAGAUACAACCGACCUAAUCAAUUUGGAAACCCAUAGGAUCCCUUUCAAGCAAUCAACCAUGGACCUAGAUCACUGGUCAGGUACCUUCAGAUCAUGGCCGAAUGAAACCCCCAGCUGGAGGGAAUGGUACCAAUGGAUAGCCGCCUUAAAAAGAGUUCAAUGGGACGAGCCUUUAGUAAUAGCAGCCUUAUCUUUGUCCCAAAUGGAAAGGAAUGAGCCUUUAGUAAUAGCAGCCUCCUACUUUUGGUCUGAUGCCCUCAACGCAUUCCUCUUAGGACACGGACCUAUGACCCCUACCCUGGCCGAUGUGGUCAUGUGGAUCGGCCUUGAUAUCUCCUCUCCCGAUACUCCUUUCCGUUACUUGGCCAAAACAUCCCAUCGGCUGGAGACGAAAGGAAUCGGCGGGUGGAAAGGAUUCAUCAAGUGCAACAGAAGGGCCGGGACAGUCCAGGAAAGAGAGCAUGCGGCCUUCUUGAUGAUGUGGCUAGAGAAACACCUUUUUUGCGGGAGGGCAGCCGGUCCAUCCACUAACACACAGGCUCUGGCCGAGACACUAUCGAUAGGGGCCUCUGUUCCUCUUGGAAAGCACCUAUUGGGAUCGGUUUACCAUAUGUUGCAUCAGAUCGGCGUCAAGCUAUCCAAAGGAGAGCCGAUUGGAAACCCAGGUGGACCCUGGUGGUUCAUCAACUUGUGGCUUAAUCUGUAUAUUAGCAAGAUCUCCCAGCAGCGAGUGGAGUACAUGACGUUCCCAAACAUCGAAUCGGCAGAGAAUCCCACUGUACGGCGCCGGUGUACUUCCUUCGGUGAAGCGGCAUCGGCCUUCUCCGGUUUCUCAUAUUCUGUUGCCAAGGUGGCCGAAUACUUCAGAUGCUUCUACAAUGGCUUUAGUGAAGACGCAACCAGCUGGUUCCCUUAUCAAAGGGAGGAACCACUCUUCGAGCUCCCGUCCUGUUUUGACUCGGCCACCAGCAAAUUUGAUGAGGACCUCACAGAUGAAUUGAUCAAGCCGGGGAUCCUGCCGGCGAACUUCUUCUCGGGGAAGGAUGCCCCCACUUAUGAGUUUUACCAUCCUUCCGUCACAGCACGGCAAUUCGGCUUGGGUCAACUGCCGAUUUAUGCAUACUUCACCGGCCGAGCAAAAUUUCGAGACGAGCUCACCAAAGGUCUCCACUACUACGAUCGGAUUCUAGACUCCAGCACCAUAGACUUGGCCAGUUGGAUAGUAGCCCCUUUCGCUGUUCAGCAGUUCAAGCUAUGGUGGGUGGAAUGGAAGCAACAUCUAUUCUGCGCCUCUACGGCGAUAUAUUGUAAUCUCCUGAAUCCCGACAACAUCGAUCCGAAUGCCGAGGUAUCGCUCUCUUUCUGGCUGAUUUUCAACUCCUUUUUUUUUAUACUGACUCUUAUUAUUAUUUCAGUCUGAGAGCCAUGCUCCCCCAAAAUGCAGUCGGAGUGGUCGGUCGAUAGAGGACCGUUAUCCAUACACAGCAUUCCCCCUCAUCGGCUAUCACGCCCCCUCCGUUGAUGACAUAGCCGGCCGAGCGAAGCAAGCGCAGAAAAAGAUUAUCAAGAAGACAAGUCGCCGAGUACGCGCCCGCACAGAAUCGGCCGAUCCACCCGUGGUUGCAUCGGCGGAAAUUUCGGCUGCGCCGACCCUUCCAGUCGCUGAAGAAUUUGACCUCCAAGCUGCUACAGAGGCCGGAGCAGCUGCCGCGUCAUUAUGGGUGGAAGCUAUUCAGGUAAACUCACCAUCCAAUUUUCCUAACAGUCAUUUCAAUACUGUCCUUUCCUUUAUUAGGCCGCGCAGACUCCCUCAGCAGAUCCACAGCAAUCUGCAAUGCCCCAAGCAGAAGUUGAAAUACCAGUGCCCCUUCCCGUUGAGGUACAUGAUCUCUCAACUCAAUUCUUUAAUAUUUGAAUGAUGAUCCUACCAACCUUGAUGCAAGUCAUCGGCACAUUAACUAUGCUAUCCGACUAGCCAUCUGCCAGAGAAGUCCUUCAAGAGGCCGGCCCGAGCAGAACGCCGAUCGUUGUCGAAUCCUCUUCUUCCGAUGAGCCAAUGGCACCAGUCCCCGAGUCGAGAGUGGCUGUUCCGCAAACACAGAUGGAGGAGAUCCGUUUCAAAGAGGUGAGAAGUCAUUUGACCCGCAUUGACCGAUUCAUCACCACCAUCGGCUGACUCAUUUUCCUUUUAUUUAUCAUUCACAGGAACAGGACACUCCCAAUAAUAGCCUCUUCUCAUUUGCGGUCGCGCUCUCUGAUGACGAGGAAGUUUCUUCUUGUCAAGUUACUUUGAGCUCCAUCCCCGAUGAUGUCCGCACUAAGCUCGAAAGUAUAUGGUCCCUUCUUCAAGAGGACAUCGGCCGAUUGGUGGAGGACGCCUCGCCGAUUUGGCAGCUCUUUGGUGAUGUCAGCGGGCAAGUCCCAGAGGAAGCAGAAGAAGCCUUAGCGCCGGCCGCUUAUAUCGAGUCGAUGCGGAUCCCGAUCUUCAGGGCUCUGCGUCACAUGGCUGAUAGCGCCAAGCUGGCUAAGACUCAUGAGGAAGAGGACUCGUACAAGCAUCGGGCCCAGGAGGUACACCAUCGGAUUCACUUCCUCGAGAAUUCCCGACCCGGACUCGUCGGCACGAUAGAUCGCCUCAAGCGCCGAAGGGCGGAACAUGCCAAGGAGAUGGAGCAGGUAACCAAAGAAAUAGCUAUUGAAGAGAAGAAGCUUCAGGAACUCCCUUCCGUUAUCGCCGAUUUAAAGCAGGAGAGGCAGCAUCUGGCCCAUGAGGCCCUUAGACUCCAUCGCCAUAUGUCAGAAGUUCCAGGGUCGGCAGAUGAUGACCAACGAGUCUUGGACUCGGCCGAUCAGAUCAGAAGUCGAGCGAUUGCAGCCAUUAACGCCCUUCUGGGUGAUCUGUAAAAGUACUGGCCAUUUUGUACGAACAUUAAUGCCUUUUGACUGUCCUUCGUGGCGCUCUCCUAUUUAUUACCCUUUUUACUCUGACAGGACGCAUCUUACCAAACCUCCGCGCUUCCUCUUAUUAUAAAUACCGGCCCUGGUUUCGCUCUUGAGAAUACCUGCUCCACUCUAUUCCUUUUUCCCCGAUUACGUUUCCAUCGGAACGUUCGUAGUCAUGUCUUCUUCGUCUUCUUCUUUCUCCUCGCCUUCUAUCAAUCAGGUACGAGGUCCGUCUCCGCCCUUUUUUCAGUUUGAUCCCUUUAAAUCAUUCCAACUUUUAGGCGGCUAUGUGCUAACUUUUUCAGCCAAGGCACCUUAGCCCUGAACUCGAAUGAGCAAUCAAACUCGUGCACUCUGACGAGUCAUUGUCGCAAGAGAACAAGGACUUGAUCAAGGCACACCGUGAAGAACUCAGAGAUCACGUUCCUGCCGACGUCCAACGGAUCUGGGACUUCAUCGAUGUCAAUGAUUACGGGAGACCGCAAGUUGACAGGAGCCACCCACUUCCUCUUCCGGUUGUUCUUGAAAACGUCGCGGUAGGGACAUCGCACCCGGUGAUGGAUCGGAGCCAUCCUCUUCCUCGCCAAGUUGAGGCGGAGGCCGCGAUGAGAGAUGUGGCAGAACGAAGCAUUCGCCUUCUGAUAGAAUUAGGUAGGAUUGAGAGGGAACUCAAGAAGAAGCGUAGUUGAGUAUUUUUUGUUCUAAGGACGAAGUGUACUGCGUCGGUCGUGUAAUUCAUCGUUCGUACCGAAUCACAAAUCGGCCAAUUUGAACGAUUAUUUUUCUCCUUUAGGCGAUUUCUUCUCCCGUAUCGGCUGUGUGAUCAUUCAGGGAGCGAUCUUUCUGUCUUAUGUUCCGACCCAUAUACUGGGGUAAUACCUUUUCAAGUACCUCCCGUUUAAGGCCCUAGUAAAUUCUUCUCCUUCGAUCAUUUCCAGAAUGUAAGCGUUUCCCAGGGCACAUCGGCCGAUUCUAUACGGCCCUUCCCAAGUGGGAGACCAUUUACCGAAUUUAGGAUCUUUUGAUCCAAUCGGCAACACUAACUUCCAUACUAGAUCCCCUUGGGAGAACUGCUUGACUUUGACCUUCUUGUCAUACCAUCUGGCCACUUUCUUUUUGUUUUCCUUGAUACUGAUCAAGGCUCUCAAACGUUGGCCCGCCAAAUCGUCGAGUUCCCUAUUCAUGAGCGAGGAGUAAUCAUCGGCCGUCAGCUGAUCUUGAAGCGACGUGCGUCUCGACCCUGUUCUCAACUCCCAUGGCAAUACUGCCUCAUGACCGUACACCAAUUGAUAAGGAGACACCUUGGUAGCCCCGUGGCAGGCCAUCCUGUAUGCCCAUAGAGCUUCGGUUAGACAUAAGUGCCAUUUUUUGGGUUGUUCUUCGAUCUUCCUCUUGAUCAACUUGAUUAUCCCUUUAUUGGAAGAUUUGGCCUGGCCGUUAGCCUGAGGAUAGUACGGGGAGGAAUUUAGCAGCUUGAUUCCCAUAUCGGCCGUGAACUCCUCGAACUCUCCCGACGUGAACAUCGUCCCUUGAUCAGUUGUGAUAGUCUGAGGGAUGCCGAAACGAUAGACAAUAUGAUCCCUCACGAAAUCGACCAUAGCGGCCGAUGUUACGGCCUUUAAUGGAACCGCCUCCACCCAUUUGGUGAAAUAAUCUGUGGCUACCAGAAUGAAUUUAUGUCCUUUACUUGACGGAGGAUAAAUUUUUCCAAUGAGGUCUAUUCCCCAACCUCUGAACGGCCACGGCUUGAUAAUUGGAUUCAUAGCCGACGCGGGCGCGCGUUGCACAUUCCCAUAUUUCUGACAAUCUUGGCUUCCUUUAUAAUACUUGAAACAGUCCUUAAGGAUUGUCGGCCAGUAAUAUCCAUUAUUCCUAAUCAUCCACUUCAUCUUAUGCGCCGAUUGGUGGGCUCCACACACCCCUUCGUGCAUUUCUCCCAUCAGGGUCUUUGCCUCCUCCGUCCCUAGGCAUUUGAGUAGAACACCAUCAAUCGUCCGGUAGAACAAAUCAUUUUCCAAUAACACAUAUUUUUGUGGCCUGAAAUCGUAUUCGCCGAUCCACUUUCUUAGAUGGGUCUUUUAAAUAAUCGGCGAUCUCUUUUCGCCAGCCGUCGGCCGCGAGUUCCAGAAUCAUGGCGCCUUGAAUCGGCCGAUACCCGAACGCGUGCUGAGCCAGCCUGUUGGCUUCUUCAUUGUAAUCCCUGGGGAUAUGCUCAAUAACUGUGGAUUUGAAUUCUUUCAGAAGUUGGAGGCAAUCCUCAUAGUAAACCCUUAAUACAUCAUCUUUGCACUCGGAUCUUCCUAUCAAUUGGUCCACGAUGAGCAUGGAAUCUCCAAAAACAUCGAUGGUGUCGGCCUUAAUUUCUCUUAACAAUUGUAACCCUUUCAGGACAGCCCGGUAUUCCGUCUGGUUAUUAGUGGCGGAUGCUUCUAUCGGUAGAGAGAAAUCAUAGCUUGCCCCCUGAGGUGAUAUGAGAACGAUGCCGAUUCCCGAUCCGGCCCCACAUGAUGAGCCAUCAAAAUAUAAGGUCCACGGUACUGGUUCCACGACAGCGAUUUCUGGUCCGCAGUGUUGGGCGACGAAAUCAGCCAUAACCUGACCUUUGAUGGCGUUUGCCGAUUCGUACCGUAGAUCAAACUCUGAUAAAGCCAAAAUCCACUUUCCGAUCCACCCUUUCAAAAUCGGCAAUGACAGCAUAUACUUUACUACGUCAUCCGUGCAUACAACCACGCAUUCUGCUGAUAACAAGUAGUGCCUGAGCUUGGUGCAUGAGAAGUAAAGACAUAAGCACAGCCGCUCUACCGGGGGAUAUCUUGAUUCGGCGUCCAAAAGUCUUCUACUAACAUAAUAUAUUACCCGUUCCUUUCCUUCGAACUCCUAGACUAGUGCCGAUCCGAUAGCUCGCUCAUCGGCCGAUAAAUACAGCUUGAAUGGCUUACCAGUUUCUGGUGGGACCAAGUACUGCUUGAUGUCUUCUAGUGCCUUGCGUUGCUCUUCUCCCCAUACAAACUCUUGGUUGGGUUUCAAUUUCAACAACGGUGUGAAGGCCUGGAUACGUCCGGAUAGGUUGGAUAUGAACCAGGCAACGUUGGUAAAGAAAACUGCUAAGAGUAAACUAAACAACGCUACAGUAGCAACACUAGGAACAGAUCUUAAUCGGCUAUGCAAAAAGUAGUAAAUUGAGCAAUAAGAUAUAAAAAAGCCGACAGUCCUAAUUCCAAGCUGGAUAACUGGUGAUAAAACUAGAACAAUAGGCAAAACCUAGAAUUCAAGUGAUUAUCGAUAACUAGUGAAUAAAUCUAAACGAAACGGCAGCAAUGCGCCCGAAGUUAAAGCUUAGAUAUUACUCGAUAUGCGGAACUUACAGAAUCAGCCGGAGAUCAAGUUGAUGCAGCCCCGCCAACCCGUACAAACUCAUGAAAAGAAGAAAAGUAUUGGCGAAGUCGCCUGCUCGAAAGUAAAGUGCGAGGAAAUAGUAGUUUGUUGUAUUGAUUUGAUGAUGAUUACAGAUCUAUGAAAGCGGCUAUUUAUAGCCUGUUACAACCAAUCUCUUAACCGACUAGAACUCUAUCUCUAAUUUUAAACGAAAAUGAAUAUUUACAAGCAUAAUUCCUAUCGGAGUUGGUCAUCGUGUUCCCAUGGGCCGAUCUCCUUUUUAUCUUCAUAGCUCACUUUAGGCCCAUAUUGGCCCAACUGCUCCAGCCUCCCAAUCGGCCGAUUUCCACCAACUCCAUCCGCCGAAAUACUGCAGCACCAAUCGGCCGAUUCCCAAUCGUGACCUCCGUGUUUCGCCGCAUCAGCUGAUUCCUUCCCUUCUUGACGCCGAUUUCAUAUGUGUCAAAAUCUGGCGUCAACACAUACAUAAUGAUGGUAUUGUUCCUACUUUCAGGAUGAGGUAUUUACUAUUGAAGCAACAAUAAAUGAAAUUAAUGCAACAUAUGGUUGGUACUACAUCUCAUGUAGUAGAGGCGAUUGUAAGAAGUAACUUGAAAAGAUGUUUGAUCACUACUAUUGCAAUAAAUGUGACAAGAGAGCCUAACCUAAAGCACGGUAAAUUAGUUAGUAGUUUACAAUCUUAUUAUAGUACUUCUAUUUCUAAUAGGAGAAUAAUAUUUGCAGAUUCAAAAUUAAGCUUCAAAUAAGUGAUCCAACAGCAAGUGCAACUUGUGUACUUUUGACAAGGAAGCAGAAAUGAUAAUUAAUGAAUGAGCAGAUUCGAUGAUCACCUCAGUUGAUCAUGAUAAUAAGUAGCUACCAAAAUCAAUUCAGAAAAUAUGUGAAGAAACAUUGAUUUUUCAAUUCAGAUUGACCGAGUACAACUUGACAAGUUUUAGACCUGAUUAUACUGUUUCAAAGAUAUUUUUUCCAAAAGAGAAGAGCAGUUCUAGAAUUGGUAUGGAAAGUGUAAAAAAGGUAACACUUUAUUAUUAAGUUUUUAUUGCACUUUUUUCUUUUGAAUCCUUAAUAUUUAAUAAUUUUACUAUAUCAAUGAAACAAAUUCUAACCUAAAUUUACAACUCAAACAAAUGCUACAUGAUAACUACCGAGAAUGAAGAGGUAGACACUGAUGACUCUUUUACCAAGAAAGUAACAUUCGUAGAAGAAGCCAUAAGGACUGGGGAAAGAUUGGCUAGAAAAGUAUACUCACUUCCAUCUCAGUAUUCAUUCUGUUUACAAUACAUGCAAAAAAAUAUUAUUCAUGCAAAAUUGCAGGUCUACUAAGCAUUAAAGGAAUAGCGGAUAGUGCAAUAUCUAAUUUGAGCAGCAUGCAUUACAAAGUGCUCUACUGCAAUUAAAUUAAAAAACAUGAUAUAUGUUGAAUUCUUAGACUUUAUUAUUAUACUUUUCUAUGUGACAAUUCACAAUUUUUUAGAAAAUAGAAGAUCCCAGAAGAAGUGAUCAUGAAAAAAGGUCUAUGCCCAGCAAUAAGAAAAAAAUGCAAGCAUAGAAACAAAUCCGUAGAAAACAUAGAAAAUAAGGUACUCCAUAAACAAAAGUAUUCUCUUAUAUUUUUAUUAAAUAUUUCUUUAACACUUGACAAGUUCUUUUUUAGGAUCAAUAUAUCAGCAAUUCAGAUGUCAUUGGAGAUGAAAACCUUAGUUCGUCCAAAAGGUCAAAAAAAACAUCUGAAGAAAGGUGUUUGGCUGAAAAGGAAAAGCAAGAAAGUUGUAAUGCAGACAAACACAUGCAGAAAAAUAUAAAAACAUGUAAUAGGGAGGCAGACCAAUCUUGCAAUGAGGUAUAGAUAAAACGUGAUACACGACCUGCCUACCUUGUCGUGGAUACCCCAAGAAGAUGUCGUAGAGGUGCAGACCAAGCUAGCAAGGAGGUCGAAACGUGAUACACGGCCUGCCUACCUUGCCGUGGAUAUUAGCCCUAAGAUCAUUCUACUGUUCAAGGAAUAACACUCAAUGCUGCUGCUGCUGCUGACCUGGCUCCAUAAAGUUAUACUCCUCUAGGUGCUUGCACUAACUUUAUCUGAAGUAUUAUUCUCUCUGCACUGUAUAUAUGGUUAUGGAGUUUGCUGGAGUAUCCGGGGGGAAGAACCUACAUAAUACGUCUUGGAACUAACUGACAUUGAUUCACAGACAAACUCUACAAGGUGCUGUUGUUGCCAUUUUAGAGCAUCCAAAGGACUAUAAAUAACAUAGUUUACCAUAUACCAUAUACCAUAAUAUGUUAGCUAAAAUAAGAGCAUACACAUGUUGCAGGAGUCCAAAAGCACCGGUUGAGGACCAGGUACAUUGAAUUACUAGAAAAAGACAGGGGACAAGGUUUAGGUAACCACAUGAAACAUUUGAAUUUACUGUACCAUGAACACUUAGUUACCAUGCUGGGAGCACAUAGUUAACACUAACAUUUAGCCACUUUAGAUCAUCCCGAAUCACCAAUGACCCUCAAUAGUGACAAAUUUUGGUUUAAAUGCCGUCACCAAUGAUCCUCAAUAGUGACGUAUUUAGGUUUAAAUCCCAUCACUAAUAACCCUCAAUAGUGACCUGUUUUGGUUUAAAUCUCAUUACCACUUAUCCUCAAUAGUGACGUGUUAAAACACGUUAUCUCAAUGGCAAAUCAUUGGUGACGUGUUUUAAAAAAACAUGGCACUGUGAGAGUCAUUGGUGAAGGGUAAUUAAAAUGCGUCACUAAUGUUGUAGCAUUAGUUAUGAUAAUUUAGUAAUGCAAAAAUCUACCAUCAGUAAUGAGCUUUAGAGCCAUCGCUAAUGUGGGUUUCUUACAUAGUGAUGCAAGCUCUACAAGGUGCUGUUGCUGCCAUUUUAAAGCAUCCUAUGACUACAUGUUAAUAACAUACUUUACCAUAUACCAUAAAAAUAUUAGUUACAAUAAGCACAUACGCAUGUGGAAGAGUCCGAAUGCACCGGUUGAGGACUAAACACAUUUAAUUACUAGAACCAAAUGUAUGUCCAGAACAAAGACAGGGGUCAAGGUUUGGGUAACCGCAUUAAAAACAUUGGAUUUUACUGUACAUGAACACUUAGUUACCAUUACCAUGCCUUGAGCACCUAGUUACAACAAACAUUAAUUUAGCCACUUUAGAGCUUCCAGAAUCGCUAUAAAUAAUAUACAUACGCCGUACCAUGAAAACAUCAAGAAGAGAGACGGAUACAUGGACCACCAUCAAGCGAGUACUGACAGCACGCACAAGAAUACCCAGAACCUGUUAGCUUGUCUGUAGUGAUCUGUUUUCUUCCCCAUAAAAUCCAUGAGUAUUGCCACAAAUAAUGAAAGAGGCUGACCAAGCUAGCAAGGAGGUAGAGCAAACGUGAUACACGGCCUGCCAAGAUUGCCCUGGAUACGCCAAUAAGAGCGACAGAUACAUGGAUCACACCAAUAUGGUGAAACGUAUAUUCAUCACACAAGCAAAGCUGGUCAGUUUAUCCAUGGUCAAAUUGUGGUCUUUGUUUUCACUUGAGAGCUAAUUGAGGCACUAUAAUAUGGGCAGGCCUAUCUUCAACAGACAUGACAGCUACAGGGAACUUGACAUAAUUUGCUGGACCGCCUGUGCACAAUUAUUUGUUUUAUUGUCCUUGCAUAGAAUGCUAAAAUACUCUUUACAAAAUGUUGGAUCUAAUAUUUGAAAUAUAGAGUAGUAAUCAUAUAUUGAUCAACAACUUGAAAUUAUCUGUACAUUCUCGGUGAAGCUGUUGAACUAAUUUUUGCAAAUUAUUAAUUAAUUCAUCUCAUUACGUAAAGAAAACAGUAAGUGGAUAAGAUAUUUCGUGGACCACAUCACUGCAAACAUGUCAUGGAGAGACAGACCAAGGAGGCAGGACGUGAUACACGACUUACCCUAGGUUGCCGUGGAACCGCCAAGAAGAGAUACAGAUACAUGGACCACACCAUCUUGGGAGUAGUGACAGCAUAUAUGCAGAAGAAUACCCCGUGCCUAUUUGCAUGCAUGUCUCAAGUGAUCUGUUUUCUUCAGAAAAUACAUGAGCAUUGCCAGAAAGAAUGGCAAGAGACAAACAUGUCGUAGAGACUUGCAUGUCUUGCCUUGGAUACGCCAAGAAGAGGGACACAUACAUGGAUAACACAAAUCUAGUGACACGUAUAUUCAUCACAAAGGCAAAUCUGAUAAUUUUAUCCAUGGAGCAGACCAAGGAGAAAUUGAUGACGGACAUGUGAUCUCUGUAUUCAGUUGAAAGCUAAUUGAGCUACACUAAUAUGAGCAGGACUAUAUUCAAGAGACUUGUUGAGAGCUACAGGGAACUUGUAAUAAUUUGCUGGGCGGCCUGCGCACAAUGAUUUGUUAUACAUAGUUGAAAUAUUUCAAGAAUUUAUCAACCUCGUACUCUGAAACCCUUGGUGCAAUGUACUCUGCUUUCCGAGGUAGACUGUUCACGUAAAAUGAGGUCAUGCGUAAGACGGAAUCGGAUUGGAUUCGCAGGGAAUCAGAUUUGGAUAGCACCUUUUAGCAGGUUUUUAGUCAAAUGCAAAUUCGGAUCCAGAUAUGGUUGAAUGCGAGUUCAAAAUUCUACUUGGAUAUCCAUUUAAUUUAGGUGAUAGCAAUUAGCACAAAAUGUUGGAAGAACAAAAUCAUAGUUAGACAUACAAUUACAUGUAUUGUUAAAGUAUAAUACAAUACACCAAGAUUAUUCCUUGAAAAUAUUUCUUAAAAAUAUUAUAAUAAAUGAAUACCACCAACAAAUAGUCGGUGGUCACUAAGUUGGAGCCAUUUCUGGUUACUAAUGCGGCCUGCUCCUCGACCAGCGACGACAGCUGAGCUUGUUCCUUCUGACACCAAAUCAUCAGAGUUUUCCCUCCACUACUAUAGAAUGCACCUUUAGCACCAAUUGGGAAAUCUCCUUCAGUAUCGGAUGCUGCAACCUAUGCUAUGAAAAUGGAGACUAAAAGCCUCGGUCUUGGGUACCGGUUGCAUGACGCAUUACUAAAGGAGGCAAAAGAGAAAUGUAACAAAAAAAUAUUUUGAAUUCCAAGAAUGUUUCACUAUUCAAGAUGACUAGCUGAGAGUCAUCAGACAAGAUACUAGGAACGUGGGUGCUUGAAUGCCAGGUGCUGGAGCGCGGCGAGGCAGUCGUCGUAGCCCGCCGGGAGCGGGUGCUCGGGCGCGAGGUGGUACUCGACGGAGACACCGAGCGUUGGGCGCGCGGCGGCGAGCGCGUUGAGGAAGUGAUCGUAGUGUGGCGACGUCGCGGACUCCGCCACGAAGCCGCCGCCGUGGAUGUACACCACCACGGGCAGCUUCGUCUUGCCGUCAGCGGCCACGGCCGCGGCCUAGGGUGGCAGGUAGAGGCGGAUGGAGCAGGAGCCGAGGUCGACGUCCCCGGAGUCGACGCCCGUGGCGGCGUCCAGGCCGGGCCUGACCGGCGGCGGCACGAGCGACGCGGCCGCUCUUGUAAAUCCAGCAGGUCUGUGCGGAGGCGGGCGGCGGGUGGGAGCGGCGGCGGGUGGUGCGGAGGCCGGCGGCGGCGGGUGGCGCGGAGGAAGGGGAGCUGGUGAGUGGUGACAGGGGAGGGGGGAGAGAGAGAGGGGGGUAGGGUGCAUUGAAUGAGGGCAGGAGGUGUAAAGUGCACCUUUUAGUCCCCAUAAACAACCAUAAGCAUCCCAAGAGUUGCUUAUUUACUUAUAAUAAGCAACCCCAUAAGCAAGAGUGAUUGGUUUCAUAAGCAACUUAUUUGCUUAUUUUAAGUUGCUUAUGCAUAAGCAUGUGAAACCAAACAGGCCCUUAACCUAUGGUUGUGGCACACAACCAUACAGUAGAUAGUAUUUAAUAAUGCUAUUCGUUUGGUAUGUGCAGAAGGGCACGCAUGAAAUGUCUGGCCCACGGUAAACAAGUACGGACGCUGCAAAUAAUCUACUCUGCUCGUCCAGUCCCUAGCCUAUAAAUAGAUGCCAUGCUAGCUCUUGUUGUGCUCACAAUUAAUCCGAUUACACACGAGCUUCUCUCCCUGGCCAAGACACAAUCAUAGUAUGAUGAAGAACAUGGCACUAGCCGGCAAUGGUAUGAAGAAGUUAAUCCUCGCUGUUCUCUUACUGUGUCUAGUUAUAGGGCAGAUACAAGUGGAAGCUAAGAGCUGCUGCCCAUCCACCACUGCAAGAAAUAUCUACAAUACCUGCCGUAUCACGGGUACAUCCCGUCCAACGUGUGCAAAACUGUCAGGCUGCAAAAUUAUCAGCGGGGACAAAUGCAAGCCCCCUAACGACCACCUCACCCUUGACCCGGACACUGGUAAAUAAUAAAUUUAUCUCACUUGAUUUCUUUGUGUUUUGAGUCGUUAAUGUAUUUUCCAUCUGAUGAAACGUAUUGGUUUUGCAUUGAAGAGGAAGUUAAUGUGCUUAACUUCUGCAAGUUGGGGUGUGCGUCGUCUGUGUGCAACAACAUCAACGCUGGUAAGCACCUUUUGCUCAGACAGAGAAAACAAUAAUCAUUAAUUAGCGGCAGCUAGAAUCCUAUAAUCUAAUAUAUAUAUAUAUAAUUUUAUCAGCUCUGGGAAAUGAAGAGGCGAACGAUGCCGUUGAGAGUUGCGACCAAGC
rnacentral:lncRNA from 1 species